rnacentral:lncRNA from 1 species
CAUUAUCUUGCUUGUCUAGUAAUUAUCAAUACGGCUAGGUGUCAUGCACCCGCCCACACCCAGCCUAUAAAUUUGGACGUUUCCCUCCAUAUUUACCCACCUCACUCGCUAGUCGCAAAAACCCUGAACCUGCCGCCUUCCUCCCCCUCCAUCGUAACCACCGCAAUGUCCGCCUCAAUCUUCGAAGACGGCUUCUCCUCCGAGCGCCUCUUCAACCAGGGCUACUCCUACACCUACGAUGACGUCAUCUUCCUCCCUCACUAUAUCGACUUCCCCACCGACUCCGUCCAUCUAGCCUCCAACCUCAGCCGCCGCGUCCCUCUCUCGAUCCCCUGCGUCUCGUCCCCUAUGGACACCGUCACGGAGUCCCACAUGGCCAUCUCCAUGGCCGCACUCGGCGGCAUCGGCAUCAUCCACUCCAAUUCGACGUCGUCCGAGCAAGCGCACAUGGUCCGGUCCGUCAAGUCCCGCCGUGUCCCGCUUCUUUCCAAUCCCGUAUUCAAAUCCCCAAGCGAUCGAAUCCAAUCCGACGACGUUUUCGACGCUGCCAAUCCCUACGUCCUGGUUACCGAGAGUGGUAGCCCCAGUUCGAAGCUUUUGGGGUACGUGGCUGGUAAGGAUUGGGUGAAGCUGGGGGACAAGGAGGUGAAGAUAUACGAUUACAUGGUGAACUGUACGGACUUCACGGUGCCGUGGAGUUACGAUUUGGGGGCGAUUGGGGAGUACAUGGAGCAGAAAAAGCGAGAUGUGUUGGCAACUGUGAAGGACAACGAGGUUGUGGAUGUGGUGGCGAAGGAGGAGGUGGAGAGGAUUAAAGGGUACCCCAAAUUGGGGGUUGGGACGGUGGGGCCCGACGGGACAUGGCGUGUUGGGGCGGCGAUCGGGACUAGGGAGUCGGAUAAGGAGAGAUUGGAGGAGUUGGUGAAGGCAGGGAUUGAUGUAGUGGUGUUGGAUAGCUCUCAGGGGAACUCCAUUUAUCAGAUUGAGAUGAUAAAGUAUGUGAAGAAAAUGUACUCGAAUUUGGAUGUAGUUGGCGGGAAUGUGGUGACGGUGAGUCAGGCGCAGAAUUUGAUUCAGGCGGGUGUUGAUGGGUUGAGGGUUGGAAUGGGAUCUGGCUCAAUUUGUACCACUCAAGAGGUCUGCGCCGUCGGCCGCGGACAGGUAUAAAGAUGCCUUCUUUUUGUUUACUUGUUUGUUUUUGUGAUUGAUGCUUUAGGUUGCGUUAUCAUUGGUGGUGGCUAAUUGAGGCUUAUUAGAAUGUGGGAGUGUUGAAAGUUAUGAUAUUUGUAGUAAUUGGUUAAAUUACUACAAAUUUUUAGUGGAUGAUAAAUGUUUGAGUAAGGAUUUGUUAAAUCAAUGACAUUGUGCCUACUGAACAAUCGUUGUUUUGAUGGGUGCUUUACUCUCUUGUUAUUAGAUACUUGGAAACAUAGAACUUCGAAAACAAAGGUUUUUACCUUACCUUCUGGUAGUGGUAUCAACAACCGUGUAGUUGAUUAACACGGUGUAAUUUGUAUUAAUACAUUUUGAAUACUUUGUUUGACAAUUUGUUCUUUGUAAGGGUUGCUGAUAGCUACACCAUUUUACAAAGUUGUUUUGAUUUUGGUGAUAUGUAUCAGGCAACUGCAGUUUACAAGGUGGCAUCUAUCGCUUCACAAAGUGGUGUGCCUGUGAUUGCUGAUGGUGGCAUUACCAAUUCUGGACACAUUGUGAAGGCUUUAGUCCUUGGGGCUUCUACUGUCAUGAUGGGAAGCUUCUUAGCUGGAAGCACUGAGGCUCCUGGGGCUUUUCUGUAUCAGGUAUGUCUGGGAUUUACUCAUGUUUUUAUUGCCAGAACAGAUAUACUGCUUGUACCAUUAGUUAUAAAAUUUACUUUCACACUUCUUCUCUCUUGUAUGAGUGUUUACUUCAAUACGUCUUUUCAGUUCUUUGAUGACUAUUUGAGCAGCUUAAGGAGUUUAUUAGGCAGAUUUACGAAUACUGAAUCACAGCUGUGGUGGUAAAGGAACUUUCCUAGAAGAUGUGUGUCUCUAAGUUUGUUAGACAAAUUAUUUCUCAUCCUUUUUUGGACUGCAUCAAUAUUGUUCGACAGAUCAGUUUUACUAAAUUGAUGUAUUAUGGUUUGCCAUCAAUAUUUUACAUCUUUAGGUAUGCCAUUCGUAUGUUUGCAUGGACUCUCUCCCUGAUGAUCUGAACUUAAUAAGUUUGAAGCCUACAUACAGUCAGGGGUUUUGGACUCCUUCAGAUUAGCUCAAGUGGUGAGAGUAAGUGGCAAAAUUGGUCAGGACUAGGCUAGGUAAGGGUCCGGUUCCCUGAAACUGUGAUUGGAUUUUUCAUGGAUCAUAUCCAAGCUAAACUUACUGGGUACUGUAUUGAGCAGAGUAUUUCAUGUCUGUGUGUGUUUUUUUUUAAUGGUGGUUAUCUUAUUACGAAAUUGAUUAAAUUUUCUUAAUUUUGAACUAAAAGCAAAAGUUGUAUACAUAUUAGAAUGGUAUUUCUUGUCAUUGUUGAUUAUCUUUCAGCAUGCUUAACCUGUAUUAAGGAAACAGUGUGAUAUAAGUGAUUUCAUGUUUUCUAUUAGAAUGGUUGCCGAGUCAAAAAAUAUCGAGGCAUGGGAUCUCUUGAAGCAAUGACAAAAGGGAGUGAUCAGAGGUACUUGGGGGAUACAGCUAAGCUGAAAAUUGCACAGGGGGUGGUUGGGGCAGUCGCAGACAAAGGAUCUGUUUUGAAGUUCAUACCAUACACAAUGCAAGCUGUAAAGCAAGGUUUCCAAGAUCUUGGUGCUUCUUCACUGCAGUCUGCUCAUGACCUCUUAAAAUCAAGCAUUUUAAGGCUUGAGGUAAGUAGACCAUUUUGCAUACGUUGUUGUGUUAUUCAUGUCAUCAUUAUUAAGGAUGUCAUUUUAGUUGUAUGCCGUAAAUGAGAAUUGAUGUUGUAGCCAAUGCUUCUUUCGAUAACUUACUCUUUCAUAGUCCGUUCCAUUAUCUGUUGUAUUCUGGUUCGUCACUCUCAAGUUAAACUCCCGAAACAAGUGGGGAAGAAAUCUAUUAAUCUAGAGUGUUAUUGGGUAUCAGUGUAUCACUCAUAUACAGACACUUAUUUACUUAUAGAGAAGAAGCCUGUAACCUCUCAGGGUCUUCCAUCUCCCCACUUCUUAAAUAGUUUUCCAGCCCCAUCUAUCACCUCAAGGAAAAGCUCACUCCAUGAUUACCUUGUUAUUGCUUAUGGGACCUGAGAUAUUAUGACGGUCAUAUCAAGAACUCAUAUGGUUUCUCAAUCAGUUGACAAUAUAUUUUUCUAUUUAUGCAGGUAAGAACAGGAGCAGCGCAAGUAGAAGGUGGAGUUCAUGGUCUGGUUUCAUACGAGAAGAAAUCGUUUUGAUGGUUAUCUUUUCAGCUUUUCUGAUUCCUACUAGUGACUGCUGUCUCGGGGGAUUGGGAACUCUUCCUUGUUCCAUUCUGCAACCGAUAUCUCCAAUUUAGCAUGAGUAACAAGGAUCGAGCCUGCCAAACUGCUAGCGGGUUUUGCAAAAAUUUUGCUGAGCGGCGAAAGUUUUGGUCUCAGACGGUUCUCUGGUUUUUUGUUGGUUGCCAUGAGAGCUUCCAUAUCUGCCUGCAUUUGGUUGACUCUGCACUUUAAGUGUGGGACACAUGACUAGCUAGAAUUUGUCUGAGUUUUGUUUGUUACUAAUUUAAUGAUCAACGAAACUAAACAACUUUCCAUUAGGAGUGUAUUAUGAAUAAUGCAGUUUCAAUUGUUUACCACAUGGUUUGUUUUUUGUUCUCUUAUUUUUUAAUAUAGAUUUGCACCUUUACCUGUUGUACUUUUAUGCGCAAACGGAAGCGAAUUAUAACAAAGUACCAAAUAUCAACGUCGUAGGUGAAAGUUAAAACAAACAAUCUCAAACUAACACAAGAGAUUUACGUGGUUCGGCGUAAAGCCUACUCCACGGGCGAAGCACGGUGAGGAAUUUCACUAAACAAACGGAGAUUACAAAAAAGUGUUUAAACUCUCACAACCCAAAUCUCACAAAUUACAAACCCUAAACCAAACGAGUAGAGAACCCAAACCUAACGGAGAAGAUUCUCCCAAAUUGCUCUCUAACUCACAAAUUGACUCUCACCAAAUUGUCACACGAAUGAGCCACACAAAAUACACUAACCCUAAGGUCCUAUUUAUAGUGCAUAGGACUUAGGUUACAAUAGGAAUCCUAAUAGGAAAUAAAUCCAAAACCUAAUCAAAUAGGUAAUUAACAAAAUCUCUCCACCAAGGAAACUAACUAAGAAGUCAAAACCAAACCCAAAUAGGAUACCAAAACCAAAUAGGUAACACAAACCUAAUUUAUUGCAUCAUCCUAAUUUUGAGCCAAAAAACCCAACAAUCUCCACCUUGGCGAGAAAUUAGCAAACUUCCAAAUUUGGGAUACCAAAAUACAAACGCAAACGUGCACCAAAUUCUUUCAAAACUGAUCUCCACCUAGACUCAAAAAAUCCAAAAGUCUUCAAACUUGAAAUUUCCUCCAACGCCUUCUCCAACAAAUUCCAUUAUGGAAACUAACAAAUACGAAACAAAAUCCAAGCAAAAGCUUGAACAUACGAACAAAAAGUGCGAAUUGCACUCCACCCAAAGAGCUUGAGUACCAAGCUCCACCUCUUCACAUAACCUUUUGAGGAGUUCAGAACAACGAUCUUCUGCAAUGUUUGCAUCAACACUAGCAAAAGACUUAUCAAACAACUUCUUUUUGCCCUUGAGUUUAGGACAAUCUACUUUCCAAUGACCAUCCUUAUAACAAUAGCUACAAGUGUUCUUUCCAAGUUUGCUCCUUUCCUUAUUCCUUCCUUAAACUACCAAAGCUCCAUCUUGUGUGUCAGACACUUUAUUCUUCAGCUCUUUAGAAUUCAAAGCGACUUUAACAUCUUCCAAACUAAGACUUUCUCUACCAAAUAGCAUGGUAUCGACAAAAUGUUCAUACGAAGGAGAUAAAGAACACAACAAAGUUAUCGCAUAAUCCUCAUCACUAAUUUGGUUGUCCACACUUUUCAAAUCCAUCAUAAGUUUAUUGAAUUCAUCAACAUGCUUAUGAAUUGGCGUACCUUUAUCCAUACGAAGAGUAUGCAAACUUUUCUUCAAAUACAACCAUUUAGCAAGGGAUUUGGUCAUAUACAAGCUCUCCAAUUUUAUCCACAACUCCGGUGCAGAUUUGAUGCUACCAACUUCACGCAAGACUUCAUUCGAUAAAGUCAGCAGGAUUGCUCCAAGUGCCCGUUCCAUAACGUCUUCUUUUUCUUCAUCAGUCCACGAAUCCGGCAAAGCCUUCACACCUUUUAGCGUUUUCAAAAGCCCUUGUUGAACUAACAAAGCACGCAUCUUCAAUUGUCAAAUACCAAAGUCAUUGCCGUCGAACUUUUCAAUAUCAACUUUCACUGAUGACACAGAAGGCUUCAUAGUGACUGCCAAACAAAGCCCAAGCCGAAACCUGGGCUCUGAUACCACUUGUUGUACUUUUAUGCGCAAACGGAAGCGAAUUGUAACAAAGUACCAAAUAUCAACGUCGUAGGUGAAAGCUAAAACAAACAAUCUCAAACUAACACAAGAGAUUUAUGCGGUUCGGCGUAAAGCCUACUCCACGGGCGAAGCACGGCGAGGAAUUUCACUAAACAAACGGAGAUUACAAAAAAGUGUUUAAACUCUCACAACCCAAAUCUCACAAAUUACAAAGCCUAAACCAAACGAGUAGAGAACCCAAACCUAACGGAGAAGAUUCUCCCAAAUUGCUCUCUAACUCACAAAUUGACUCUCACCAAAUUGUCACACGAAUGAGCCACACAAAAUACACUAACCCUAAGGUCCUAUUUAUAGUGCAUAAGACUUAGGUUACAAUAGGAAUCAUAAUAGAAAAUAAAUCCAAAACCUAAUCAAAUAGGUAAUUAACAAAAUAUCUCCACCAAGGAAACUAACUAAGAAGUCAAAACCAAACCCAAAUAGGAUACCAAAACCAAAUAGGUAACACAAACCUAAUUUAUUGCAUCAUCUUAAUUUUGAGCCAAAAAACCCAACAUACCCAACCAACAAUAAAGGGUAGCGUUAUUCACACACUAUUUUUUAUCUCUUACACAUCCUUGUUAAUUUUUGUCGAUUAAUCUUUUCAUUCGUUCAAUUCGACGAUCAUAAAUUAAAAUGAUGGAGUAGAAAGUAAAAAUAAGUGUGGAUUACACCGUCGAAAAAAGGGGGAGGGAAGCAAAGGCAACCGCUGAAUAUUUGAUGAUACAAGAAGGUGACUUUUGCACUACUGUUUUCUCUUUAUUAAUCUUUGAUUAAUUAAAUAUAUACAAAUCAUUAAAAAAAGAAGUAUGUAAAGAGAAAAGGGAAUGUGGCAAUCACAUUUUAAUAAUUAACCUGCUACGUUUGCAAGUGUAUUCCUAUAAGCGAGAGAUGUACAACUCGGAAAGUACUUUGAAUUUUUUAAGUACGGAUAAAUUAUUUUAAGUGAUAUUUCACAUGUUAUAAAAUAAAUAAAAAGACACAUAAAAAUAUAUCAUUUUUACUUGAAAAAAUCUCUUCUAAGUAGGACAUGCCUAACAUCCUCACAGAUAACGUGAGGAGCACGCAUUGGCAAUGAUUGAUGAGUUAGUCGGGGGUUUGGAAGAUUCGAAGUAUGACAUUGAUAGGCUCCCACUUCCGGUCCAAUCAGACUUUUAUUUUCUUCCAUGGUUUAAAACCUCAUGCAUAAUAACAAGAAGAAAUUACGUUCAUGGAAGACUAAAAGUCUCCAAUAAAAUUAGGGGUGCGCUAAUUGUUGGAUAUAAGUCAACAAUCUGUGAUAAUUUAUAUAUGCUAAUAAAUAAUAAAUGCAAUAGAAACUAACAUAAUAUAAACUAGAAUAUGAAUUAUAAAACAGACAACUUGAAGAUCGAGGCUUGCGUACCGCAAUGUCCUUGAAACAGAAAUUUCGUCUCUACUCUGUGCUUGUAGUUCUACGGACAUCUGUUCCACCAGGAUUCAACGAUCUAAGUCAGAAAUUCCAUCACCGGAAAAUAGACUUUUGACGAAUAUUAAUGUGGUUUUCUCAGUAAGAAGGUUUAUGAAUGUAGAAGAUGAAGUUUAUUAUUUCUGUGUUCUAAAUGCUAUGCAGAUGUAUGUAUAUAUAGCAGAUAGAUGCCUGUUUGCAACAGGUAUGAUAAUGGGGUGUGACUGUUGGGAGACAUCUCUUCAGAAGGGUGCUUUGCUCUGUGUUCAGAAAGAACUCUCAGACUUCAUCUGAAAGGAUGAGUCUUUUCAUUAAAAAUAAUUAAUUAAUUAAAUUCGAAUUUAAUUAAAAAAUAAUUAAGUAAAUCCGAAAAAUAAUUUAAUUAUUAGAGCCCCAAGGCCCAAGGCCCAUCUUUUGACAAUUAAAUAUAUAUUAAUUAUAAUUAAUUAUAUAUUAAUUACCAAUUAAUUAUUACACCCCAAAGCCCAAUCUCAAGGGUGAGCCCAAUUUUAGUCUCCAGGCCUAUUACUCCAAUCACUUUCUUUAAAGGACAAAACCUUAUAAAGUGAUAAAAUCUUUUGGGAAUGGCCAAUGUGGGACAAAGAAAUUUCUACUCAAACUACUCAAAUUUCCAACAAUCCACACAUCCUAUUUUACUUUUCACAUAUUCCUUGAUAAUUUAUGUCUGUUGAUCUUCUUCAAUUCAUCCGAUCGACGACUGAAACUUAAAAAGAUGUGUGAGAAGUAAAAUGAGGUGUGUGGAUAUCACACAUCUAAAAUUAUAGAAGUAUGGAUGACUUACUGGGCCUCCAGAAACCUUUACCUACAAUGAAGCUGAUAAAAGAUAGAUAUCAAAUGUUCAUUUGAUGAUUGUUGUGACAAUGUCAGAUUUUUUUUUCUUUUUCUAACCUUUUAUUUUGUUAUAAAUGAUAUUUGUAGGAUCCAUUUUUAAAAAGAAAUCAUUUAAAAUAAAUUUUCAAGAUCUAUAAUUGGUGUAUUAAUGAGACUCGCACAAUAGAAUAAUUAAAAAACUAUUUGACAUGACAUUUUUUCAUAUGUCAAAUUUAACAUAUAAAAAUUCAGUAUGUCAAUUCACAUAGAAUUGACAUAUAGGUUAGAGCUUAUUCUAUCUUCAAAUGUGAUUACAUGACAUUCUGCUUAUGAUUUGACAUUUCUUUUGGAGAUAGUCUAAAACGCGUUUAGAUAAAGGACUAGCUUAGCUAAUAGCUACGGGGACGGAAGGAGCCAAACUUUAUAUCUUUAGUACUUAAAAGAAAAUCGAGGUAUUUGGGCCUUGGAGAAUUAACAGGACGAAUUGCUAGCUUUCGUAUACGAAAUAUCCACCCUAGUCACUAUAGACGCAUUUGCCCUAUUAACACGUCUAAAGGAAUCAAACUUUGAACUUAUUAGAUCCUUAGCAAUUCAUGCGAAGAUUGGUUAUUGGGGGUCUCUAGAAAGUCUAUUUUAUGAAAUUUCUGAGAAAUCAACUUUAGCUAAUAGCUAUGGGACCGAAGGAGCCAAAGUUUAUAUCUCUGGUAAUUAAAAUAGAUCACAAGGCCUGCGGUAUUUACAUGAUUCCCUUCUUUCUAUUGUUAUUCUUCUCAUCCGAAUUAGUCUUUGCCAAUGCUUCUCAAGAUCCAGUACACAGUUACUGCCGGAAAAUGGCUCUAUAGGGACAUUUUUUAUACAGGUUACGGUAGUGUGAAUACAAUGAAGGGUGAUGUUAGAGUGAUCAUUUAUUUAAAGAAGGUAUUCAAUCAUCAAUCACCACAUCAUAUGAUCUAUAAAAUAUAGUAAAAAAAAACAUUAUGUCCCUAAUUACUUUAGUCUAAAGUAGGAGGGGAAAUCGCACUAUUCAUAUGAACAGUGUUUGGACCACAUUUCAGUUUAUUUGCGAAGCUGCCACUGUCUCUCUCUGCCGCUGAUCUUGAUGCCGCGUGUUGAUGAUCGUGGAAAGGCAGGGUGCGAUCGUCACUUUACCAUUCUCUUCUCUUUCUCUAUCACUCUCUUUCUCUCUCCCUCAGUUUCAAUCUGCUCACCUAAAUCUCCAGAUCGAACAUCCUCCAUCUCAUAUAAAAAAGGGCAAGGAUUGUCUGCCCUCCUAGUUGUGGUGCCCUUACAUGCCCUCCUAUUUUGUGCGGUCACGGUUAAGCCACGUCAAUAUUUUAUAUUAAUUUUUUAAUGAGAUAAUAAGACAAAAAAUAAUAAAAAUAUAAAUAUUGACGUGACUUAACCGUGACCGCACAAAAUAGAAGGGCAUGAAAGGGCACAACAACUAGGAGGGCAGACAAUCCUUGUCCAAUAAAAAAACCUUCCCCCUUUAGAACCUUUAGAAUCAGCACUCAUGGAAUAAUCAUGGAUUUUUGUUGAGGUAAUUUGAUUGUUUCCUCUUCUGUAAUUUGUUUCUGUUAGUUUAUUGUUCUUGAAUUUUAAUUUGUCUGCUUUCUGACUUGGAAGAGUCGAUCUUCAGGAGAUAAAAUCGUGAUGUGACCAUCGUAUUCUCUCUCACAGCUCACAACGAUGAAAUCGCACAGGGCUUCGUUGAUUUCUGUCAACUCCGACCACGACCAGUGUCGGGUAAGCUGUCGACUACCUCUCUUCAUCUUCUUUUUCUUCUUCCGCUUCUCCUUCUCCCUGGGCAUUCCAGUUUGACUGUCUGUGUUUUGGAUGCAUCUUGAUUUCCUUAGUAUGAUUAGACGGUUUGGAUGCGCCUAAUAAACAAACCUAAUUUGCCUCGCGCUUUCAGUCAUCACCUUCCUUCGUCUAAAACCUCACGCAGAGACAGAGCUCCCCCAAAACCCUAAACGCCCAAAGGUAAUUUUGUUUAAUUUUUCAAUUAGUUUUAAUUAUCUGACGAAUCCCUAGCAUAAAUUCACUCUCUCUACUCUAAAUGCGUAUAAUUUUUUUCAGUAUUAAUCACAAAGCUACGGAGCUGAAAUUGCAAACGCUAUCCAUGGCUCGCUUCAAAAAUGUAAGCUUGAAGUUGAGAAAAGAGGUUUUUUUUUGGUUUUGUUUUGUUAAUUUUCUCAGAAACGUAGUUGAUUGUUGUGUUUUUGAAAAUUUGAAAACAGAAGAAGGUGUUUGUGAAGUCAGUUUCGACGAAGAAGCUGGCUAAUAUGGACCAUAUCACAGGGGAUAAAAUCCCAAGGAGCUUAGCGAAAUGUAUGUCUUCUGUUGGUGGAUUCUGUAUCAAAUUUGUUGUUGGUUUGUUUUCUUAAAGGUUGAUCUGGAUGAAGUGAAUGCCCUGGCUUAACUCAUGACCUGGAAGACUGCUAUGGCCGACAUUCCAUAUGGUGGAGCCAAGGGUGGAAUCGGAUGCACCCCCAGGGACUUAAGUUUGAGCGAGUUGGAGUAUCUGACUCGCGUCUUUGCUCAGAAAAUCCAUGGCCUCAUUGGAACUCAUACUGAUGUUCCCGCACCCGAUAUGGGCACCAAUGUUCAGACCAUGGCAUGGAUGUUGGAUGAGUACUCCAAAUUUCAUAGUCACUCACCAGCUGUUGUCAUUGGAAAGCCCAUCAUAAGAAUUCGACACUGAGAAAAUUAAGCCAAAAAUCGGUUUCCUGGAGUUGAAAAGUAAGUAAUUUGUAAAUUGUAUGUUUAUCAUUUGUUGUCAAUGUUGUGAUUUAUAAUGUAAUUGAUCUGGUAUACAUACAGAACUGGUAUUCUAUGUUUAUAUUGUCAUUUGUUGUGAAUGUGGUAUAAAAAUUUAUGUUUAUGUUUUUAGUUAACCAAAUGGCUCUCAAGUUCGCUGCAAAGAGUGUAAGAAGAAAUCAUUAUGUAUUCCUUGCAUACAUAACUGCUAUGCAUUAAUCUGCUAUGUAUCCUUUAAUAUUUCUGAUUAAUAACUUACUAAGAUGUCGGGUUAAUUGAGUUCGUUUUGUUAGAAUGGCCACCACUUUUUGAAGUGAUUUUCUCCGAGUAGAAUCCAGCAAAUGAUGUUUGAUAUGGUUAAACAUAUAUAUUCAAGAUUUUGAUCUCUAUGUGAUUUGGCAAUACUUUUCACCUAAUCUUCCUCUCUCUCUCUCUCUCUCUCAUGAAGGCACUGAUUGCAUUAAAAAAAGGUUCCCAGUUAAUCAAGUAUAGCCGGAAAGGGAAGCCAAAACUUCGUCCAUUCAGAAUUUCUACUGUGAGUAAUUUUCUUUACAUUAGGACAUUGGAUUCAUUUCACACUAAUAAGUUUUUUAUCUUACAUCUUCUUCCUGCUGCGCAUCUCCACGAUCAUUACUAGAUAUCUUAACCGCUUGAAUGGCUUCAUUUUUCGUAUCUUUAACAGGAUGAAACCACACUAAUCUGGUAUUCACAUGGAGAAGAACGAACUCUGAAAUUAGCUUCUGUCUCUCGAAUUAUUCCCGGACAGAGAACAGUGAGUUUAAUACUCCACUACCAAUAACUAAUCAAUAUUGUUGUGUUUCAGUCUAUAAUUAUGAACCACUAUUGUGUCCUACUCGACGUAUGUGGUUCAAAAAUUUGAUUAAAACCGAGGAUUGCUUUUUUUUUUUUACAUUAUUGUUAUCAUUCAAAACUCCGCCGUGUAAGUUUAUCUUACAUUGCCGGUCCCAAGCCCGGAUAAAGGAGGAGGGGAGGGCGUCAGGUAGUCGACAGCCGGCACUCCAUGAUUACGUCGAAUCCUUAUGAAAAUGAAUCCAGAAUGAAAUCGCGCUAAAGCUAGGGCAUCACCCGUAAGUGGCGCGCUGUGUGGCCCGAGCAUAGUGAUAAGUGAGCAAGGGUCGCUGUAUCUCCAUCGGCACCCGGAUGCAGUGUUAAAUGAGCAAGGGGGCUAUAGAAACUUCUUUUCGAACGACUCCACUCAAAGUUGUUUGGGAGCAUAUGCUCCUAUCAACUUUACACGGGACACACAAAAGAAGUACUUUGAUCCUAUUAGACGGGGAAGGGUGAAGAAGCUAGGACAGAAGGGUAGAGUUCAAGAGAGCAAAAUGCGUUUAGGAACGUGGAAUAUAGGAACCUUGACUGGAAAAUCUAUGGAAGUAGUAGAAGUUAUGGUGAGGAGAAGGAUAAAUAUUAUGUGCAUACAAGAAACUAAGUGGGUUGGUCGUAAGGCAAAGGAUCUAGAAAACUCAGGGUUUAAACUAUGGUAUUCGGGCACAAAUAGAACGAGAAACGGUGUUGACAUCAUCGUGGACAAGACCUUGACACAAGAUGUUGUAGAUGUCAAGAGGGUAGGAGAUAGAAUCAUGGCAAUCAAGAUUGUAAUAGGACAAGAACUUAUCAAUGUGAUUAGUGCGUACGCACCUCAAGUAGGGUUGGAUACGAGUUCGAAGGAGAAAUUUUGGGAAGACCUUGGAGACUUGGUGCAAGGAAUUGCUCAGAUAGAGAAGUUAUUUAUAGGAGGAGAUUUAAAUAGACAUGUGGGCAGGGAGACAGGCAACUAUGGAGGUUUUCAUGGUGGCCAUGGUUUUGGGGAGAGAAACGAGGAUGGGGAAGCUAUCUUGGAUUUUGCACUCCAAUGGCAUAUGAUCUCUUCUUAGCCAACACCUUCUUUAAGAAGAGAGAAGAACAUGUGAUCACCUACAAGAGUGGGUCGUCAAAAACACAAAUAGAUUUUCUUCUAAUGAGGAAAGGGGAUCGUAUAACUUGUAAGGAUUGCAAAGUUAUACCAGGAGAGAGCGUGGCUAAUCAACAUCGCUUGUUGGUGAUGGAUGUACAUAUCAAAAGAGUGAGAAAAAAGAACAAGACUUGGAAGUGCCCAAUGACUAGAUGGUGGAAUCUAAAAGAAGAAAAACAAGUCAUUUUCAAAGAGAAAGUAAUCACCCAGUGUGUGGGAUAGAGAGGGGAAGCUAACCAAAUAUGGGAUUCCAUGGCUAGUUGUAUCCGAAAAGUAGCAAAAGAGGUAUUAGGAGAGUCCAAGGGCUUUGCCCCACACCAAAAGGAAUCUUGGUGGUGGAAUGAGGAGGUACAAACAAAGGUGAAGGCUAAGAAGGAAUGUUGUAAAACCUUAUACAAGGAUAAGACCGAUGAAAAUGGUGAAAGGUAUAGAAAAGCGAAGCAAGAGGCGAAGAAAGCUGUGAGAGAAGCUAAGUUAGCGGCUUAUGACGAUAUGUAUAAGCGACUAGAUACCAAAUAAGGAGAGUUGGAUAUCUAUAAACUAGCUAGAGCAAGGGAAAAGAAGACAAGGGACCUAAAUCAAGUGAGGUGCAUCAAGGAUGAGGAUGGAAAGGUUCUUGCUACAGAGAACGCGGUUAAAGACAGAUGGAAAGAUUAUUUUCAUAAUCUUUUCAAUGAAGGACAUGAAAGGAGUGCUUCUUUAGGGGAGUUGAGUAACUCAGAAGAGUGUAGAAACUACUAUUUUUAUCGUAGAAUCCGGAAGGAAGAAGUGAUUGUAGCUUUGAAGAAGAUGAAGCAUAGAAAAGCAGUAGGCCCAGACGAUAUACCAAUCGAAGUGUGGAAAGUUUUGGGAGAAACAGGUAUAACAUGGCUCACUGACCUUUUCAAUAGGAUUUUGAAAACGAAGAAUAUGCCAAAUGAGUGGUGAACGAGCACUUUAGUGCCUAUCUACAAGAAUAAGGGGGAUGUACAAAAUUGCAUGAACUAUAGGGGUAUUAAGCUAAUGAGUCAUACAAUGAAGCUCUGGGAGAGAGUCAUUGAGCAUAGAUUGAGGCAAGAGACACGGGUUUCGGACAACCAAUUCGGGUUCAUGCCAGGGCGCUCAACCAUGGAGGCAAUCUAUCUCUUACGAAAAUUGAUGGAAAGAUAUAGAGAUGGGAAAAAGGAUUUACACAUGGUCUUUAUAGAUUUGGAAAAAGCGUAUGAUAGGGUCCCAAGAGACAUUCUUUGGAAGAUUUAGAGAAGAAAGGAGUACGAGUAGCAUAUAUCCAAGCUAUAUAGGAUAUGUAUGAAGGAGCAAAGACUGCCGUAAGAACUCAUGAAGGACAAACCGAAAGCUUUCCCAUAACUGUAGGAUUACAUCAAGGCUCAUCCUUAAGUCCUUACCUUUUUGCGUUGGUAAUGGAUGAGUUAACAGGACAUAUUCAAGAUGAUAUUCCUUGGUGUAUGCUUUUCGCAGACGAUAUAGUGUUGAUAGAUGAAACUCAGGAAGGGGUAAAUGCAAAGCUUAACCUUUGGAGAGAAGUGUUGGAAUCUAAAGGUCUUCGUCGUAUGCCACUGAAGCUCAAGGAAAAAUUUUAUAGGACGGCAAUAAGGCUGGCGAUGCUGUAUGGCACAGAAUGUUGGGCGGUGAAGCAUCAACACGUACACAAAAUGGGUGUAGCGGAGAUGAGGAUGCUUCGUUGGAUGUCUGGGCACACGAGAAAGGAUAAGAUUAGGAAUAAGGAUAUCCAGGGUAAAGUAGGAGUAGCCGAAAUUGAAGGAAAGAUGAGAGAAAAUCGGUUAAGGUGGUUUGGACAUGUGCAAAGAAGGCUUACUGACGCUCCGAUUAGAAGAUGCGACUAUGAGACAGAGGUUCAGGGCCGAAGGGGUAGAGGAAGACCUAGGAAAACUUUGGAAGAGACCCUAAGAAAAGACUUAGAGUACUUGGAUCUAACGGAGGAUAUGACACAGGACAGAACACAAUGGCAUUCUAAGAUUCAUAUAGCCGAUCCCACUCAGUGACUUGGAUUUUCCAAGUCUCUAACCGAGAAGUUUUCCUCACUCGGGAAAUUAAGGGAACACUACCUCAACCUAUAUGCUCCACUCACAAAGCUUCAACAUACAAGCUUCAACAAAAGAAAAUUCAAAGAACUUAGCGAAGAAAGCUUUGGUGUAUUUAACACAAUACGUUGAAAUGAAGGAAAACUUAUUUAUUGAUAUCCCCGAUAAGUUACAAAUAUGUACAUAUACUUGAGUCAAAAUAAACAAACAAGAGGGAGCCUUCACAAAGGUUGCUUAGGAGAAGUCUCAGCAGUCGGUAGAGCCCUAGAAAGAGAAGGCACCGGAGGGGGAUCAUUCGGAGCCUCAGUACUGGACAGAACCCUAGAAGGAGGAGGCAUCAGAGGUUGAUCAUUUGGAGCUUCAUUACGCGGUACAGCCUCAGAAGAGGAAGGCAAUAAAUGCCUUUGGAACAAACCCACAAAUCUCUGAUGAUCAAGUAAAACCUGACCAUCAGAUUCCUUCAUCUGGUCAAGCUUCCUCUUCAUAUUUGUAGCAUAGUCAUGUGCGAGCUGGUGCAACUGUUUAUUCUCAUGCUUGAGCCCUCUAAUCUCCUGUUUGAGACUCAUCACUUCAGCCGCCAAUGAUUCAACUUGGCGGGUUCGAGCAAAUAAGCGUUGGGCCAUAUUAAACACAGAACCUGCACACUGAACACUGAGAGCCAGAGAAUCCUUAACAGCCAACUCAUUAGACCGUUUGGAAAACAGUCUGUUAUCUUUGGGAGUGAGAAGGUUCCUGGCCACUACCGCAGUGGUCAUAUCAUUCUUCAUCAAGGAAUCCCCAACGGUAAGAGGACCAGUAGGGGAGACGAAGGAUGGGCGCCAUAUGUUGUCUGGAGAAGGCGGGGUUUCCUCUUCAACAAGGUUCAAGUCAAAACGACGGUCGGAGGGGCCAGACAUUUUCAAAAGUGUUGAAGAGAGAAGAGGUCGGACAAAUCAAGAUCUUAGAAGUGCAAGAAUGGAGCUUCUACUGGUGGAUAUUCAAGUGUGCUUUGGAACUUAAUGUCAGCCCCUAUAAAAAUCUGCACUCGACGAAGCUUCAGAAAUCGAAGAGGCGCCUGCUCAGAAAUCGAAGAGGCGUGUGCUUUCUCAAAAGCUGGGCUGCUCAGAGACCACGAGGGUCGAUCUCAGAAAUCGAAGAGGCUUGCUUUCUCAAAAGCUGGGCUGCUCAGAGACCACGAGGGCCGAUCUCAGAAAUCGAAGAGGAACCUACUUUUCCAGCCUUGUCAGCACCUGUCACACACACACUCAACUUUGCGAAAAUUAUGGGCAUUCUGUCGAAGAUUUCUGGCGAAGUAGAAAGCACAUGAAUCGUACUGUUCAAUCACCCACUUCCCACACACAACAGUAGCUCAUGGGUACCACAUAUAACUUUGCCAAAGUUCUCUGACAAAGUUGAGACACGUGAAGCUUGCAGCUCCCACUACAUCGCUCUGACCAAAAAGGGUAAAAGAAUAGCAAAGAAACAACACUAACAAAGUUUAGACACAUAAAUUUUGAAGGUCUAGCUACCAUAUUAUUACCCACAAGGGUAAAGGGACAGUACCACUGCUGGAUAAUUCGAAAGUCUCGGUGUGUCAACCUCUGUGCUUCGUGGCAAGGUAGACUAGCAAACAUGCCCAACCUUUACUCACAUUCGAGAAAACACUCCCAACAAGAUUGCUUGCUCCAAAAUCGAAGAGGCACCGCCCUCCGAAUCUCGAGAGCCAGACUCCCAACAUGAUUACUUUCUCAAAAAUCGAAUUGAGGGUAAAGGAACAGUACCACUGCUGGAUAAUUGGAAAUUCCCUGUGUGUCAACCUCUGUGCUUCGUGGCAAUGUAGACUAGCAAACAUGCCCAACCUUUACUCACAUUCGAGAAAACACUCCCAACAAGAUUGCUUGCUCCAAAAUCGAAGAGGCACCGCCCUCCGAAUCUCGAGAGCCAGACUCCCAACAUGAUUACUUUCUCAAAAAUCGAAGAGAGGGUAAAGGAACAGUACCACUGUUGGAUAAUUGGAAAGUCCCUGUGUGUCAACCUCUGUGCUUCGUGGUAAGGUAGACCAGCAGGAUUGCUUUCUCAAAAAUUGAAGAGGCAUCGUUCUCCGAAUCUCGAGAGCCAGAUCCUCGACAUGAUUGCUUGUUCGAAAACCGAAGAGGCACCACUUUCCCAACUUCAAGAGCUGGAUCUCCUUGGAUAAAGCUUGUCUGUAAUCUUCACACACAAAAUCAGCUUUCCAGAUACCACAGACCACUUUUUCAAAGUGCUCUGACAGAGUUAAAACAUGUGAAGCUGGCAGCUCCCACUACCGUGCUAUGACCAAGCAGGGUAAAGGAAUAGCAUUAUUACUUGAUGUUAGGGAGACUCCUAUAUAUGUCGACCUCCAUCCCCACCGGACAGGCAGACCUGCAAAAAUGCUUAAACCUUCCUCUUAUCUGAGAGGGCAUUCCCAACGAAGCCUUUCGAAAUAUUCAGCUUUCUUUCCCCCCGAUAAUACCUCUGUAAACAAGCUAUACUAGAGCAAGAAUAUCUCAUAUCAUCAGGGUUAAAAGCAAGAGUAUCCCAUAUCAUGCUUUUUUCCUGUCUUUUCCUUUGGCAUUGUUCUUACCUGCAAGACAAGGAGAAAUAGAGCAAUCAGCCAGCACUUGGAAUCAAGCUUCCAGCCAUGAACUAACUGCCUGGAACCCCUUACCUGAUUACUUACCUGGCAUUGCUCUCGAGUACUCAUCUUCAACAUCUUAUGCUUCCAGGGAAGAUACCACAUCUGCCUGAGGAACAGAUAGGGCAAGUGAGAAGGAUACAAGGAAGCAUGUGGAGACAAGCGUAAUAGCACACGUGCCGAUACAUCCACUACUCUGUCAAAAGCAAAAGUAUCCCAUAUCAGCAGGGUCGAACGUACUCUAGAUUUGAUGGACUUGUUUUGACCCUCAAAUUCUUCAGUCGGCCUUAUACUCUGGAGGAAACCAGAAAACCCUCCAGCCCAGUUCAAGAAUAAGCCUGUGGAAAGUUACUUCUUCAAAAGCAAAAGUAUCCCAUAUCAUAUCUUCUCAAUUUUCUUCUCUUUAUCCUUCAUGCUGCCUGCAAGAUAGGGAGAAUGUGAACAAUCAGCCGGAGCUCUGAUUGCUUACCUUGUCUGUCACCUCUUUCAGCAGAUCCCCUAGCUCGGCGACUUGGGGGAUUCCUACUACAUGGUUUGUAUCGCGCUUGACCAAGCCUGAAACUACAAGUAAGCUUCAAGUGAAAUUGAUACAUUACCUUGUGCAUCUCCACCAGUUACAGAUACCACCCCUGGAUGGAGGAAGAGUACUUCCAGAGAAGAUGCCACAUCUACCUAUGAGACAGAUAAAGCAAGUCAAGACGAUACCACACUUCGGUACUUAGAAGUUUCGUGGUUACGAGAUCAUUCUCCCACAAUAUUUCCUAAUGUCAUUUGUACUAAAUCAUUCACUUGUACUCACUAAAGGAGAGCUUGAACCUAUGUACUUGUGUAAACCCUUCACAAUUAAUGAGAACUCCUCUAUUCCGCGGAUGUAGCCAAUCUGGGUGAACCACGUACAUCUUGUGUUUGCUUUCCUAUUUCUAUCCAUUUAUAUACUUAUCCACACUAAUGACUGGAGCAAUCUAGCGAAGAUCACAAAAAGUGACCAUUUUCGCUACCUAGGAUCUAUCUUGCAAGAGAACGGAGAAUUAGAUGGAGAUCUUAACCAUAGAAUACAAGCUGGAUGGAUGAAGUGUAAGAGUGCAUCCGGCGUGUUGUGUGACCGUCGUAGGCCACUGAAGCUCAAGGGAAAAUUUUAUAGGACGGCAAUAAGGCCAGCGAUGUUGUAUGGCACAGAAUGUUGGGCGGUGAAGCAUCAACACGUACACAAAUUUGGUGUAGCGGAGAUGAGGAUGCUUCGUGGGAUGUAUGGGCACACGAGAAAGGAUAAGAUUGAGAAUGAGGAUAUCCGAUGUAAAGUAGGAGUAGCCAAAAUUGAAGGAAAUAUGAGAGAAAAUUGGUUCGGUGGUUUGGACAUGUGCAAAAAAGGCCUACUGACGUUCCGGUUCGAAAAUGUGACUAUGGGACAGAGGUUCAGGGCCGAAGGGGUAGAAGAAUACCUAGGAAAACUUUGGAAGAGACCCUAAGAAAAGACUUGAGUACUUGGAUCUAACGGAGGACAUGACACAAAGCCGAGCGCAAUGGCGUUCUAGGAUUCAUAUAGCCGACCCCACUUAGUGGGAAAAGGCUUUGUUGUUGUUGUUGUAUUGUUAUCAUUCAAGCUAAAAAUGUCUAUAUACAUAGUUUAGGAAGGGGGUGCUUACAAUAUAGAAUGGCUAUAAAUGUUACUGUAAUAGGUUGCUAUGACAUUUUGUGGUCAGAUUGGUUGUCUAAACCGUGCCAUGUGUUUCGUAACUCUCUGUAUUUCUUAUUUGUAUCAGUGGAGUUUAUAUUUUUGUUUUUCAAAUUUGAUUUCCUCACUUUCUGUUUUGAUGGAUAUUUUAGAAUUUGAGAAGGUGGUUGUGGUUUUCGUGCAAUCGCCGUUAUGCAGCUCAGACCAUCACGAUUCACCAUUGUCACCCCAUCACUGCCGUCGCGACCACCGCCGCCACAUCACCUCUGUCGAAAACACUAAGUAAUUUGUGAAUUAGGGUUUUUUUUAUUUUGUGAAUUUCUGGUUUAGGGAUUUAGGGUUUUUGAGUUAGUUUUUGUGAAGGUCAUUGUUUGAUUUUAGGCACGCUAUAAUCGAUUACAAGUUUUCGGAUCCUAAACACUUUGAAAGGGUUUCCAGAAAAGACAAAUUUCCAAAGGCGAGUAGUGACACUGUCAAUUUCCUCAACCAAUCUUCACUGGAAUUUUCUCCGUCAUCCUAUAUAUUUCAGCAUUAACACAUUUGAUAAGAAAUUUUGUUUCUGGUCACUAAAGAUGGCAGGAAAAUGGACACAAUAAAUUAUCCAUGGUCUUUAUCAUGCUAGCUGAGAAUUGGAAAAUGACACAGGACAGAACACAAUGGCGUUCUAAGAUUCAUAUAGCCGAUCCCACUCAGUGACUUGGAUUUUCCAAGUCUCCAACCGAGAAGUUUUCCUCACUCGGGAAAUUAAGGGAACACUACCUUAACCUACAUGCUCCACUCACAAAGCUUCAACAUACAAGCUUCAACAAAAGAAAAUUCAAAGAACUUAGCGAAGAAGGCUUUGGUGUAUUUAACACAAUACGUUGAAAUGAAGGAAAACUUAUUUAUUGAUAUCCCCGAUAAGUUACAAAUAUGUACAUAUACUUGAGUCAAAAUAAACAAACAAGAUGGAGCAUUCACAAAGGUUGCUUAGGAGAAGUCUCAGCAGUCGGUAGAGCCCCAGAAAGAGAAGGCACCGGAGGGGGAUCAUUCGGAGCCUCAGUACUGGACAGAACCCUAGAAGGAGGAGGCAUCAGAGGUUGAUCAUUUGGAGCUUCAUUACGCGGUACAGCCCCAGAAGACGAAGGCAAUAAAUGCCUUUGGAACAAACCCACAAAUCUCUGAUGAUCAAGUAAAACCUGACCAUCAGAUUCCUUCAUCUAGUCAAGCUUCCUCUUCAUGUUUGUAGCAUAGUCAUGUGCGAGCCGGUGCAACUGUUUAUUCUUAUGUUUGAGCCCUCUAAUCUCCUGUUUGAGACUCAUCACUUCAGCCGCCAAUGAUUCAAAUUGGCGGGUUCGAGAAAAUAGGCGUUGGGCCAUAUUCGACACAGAACCUGCACACUGAACACUAAGAGCCAGAGAAUCCUUAACAGCCAACUCAUCAGAUCGUUUGGAAAGUUGUCUGUUAUCUUUGGGAGUGAGAAGGUUCCUGGCCACUACCGCAGCGGUCAUAUCAUUCUUCAUCACGGAAUCCCCAACGGUAAGAGGACCAGUAGGGGAGACGAAGGAUGGGGGCCAUAUGUUGUCUGGAGAAGGCGGGGCUGCCUCUUCAACAAGGUUCAAGUCAAAACGACGGUCGGAGGGGCCAGACAUUUUCAAAGGUGUUGAAGAGAGAAGAGGUCGGACAAAUCAAGAUCUUAGAAGUGCAAGAAUGGAGCUUCAACUGGUGGAUAUUCAAGUGUGCUUUGGAACUUAAUGUCAGCCCCUAUAAAAAUCUGCACUCGAUGAAGCUUCAGAAAUCGAAGAGGCGUUUGCUUUCUCAAAAGCUGGGCUGCUCAGAGACCACGAGGGUCGAUCUCAGAAAUCGAAGAGGCGUGUGCUUUCUCAAAAGCUGGGCUGCUCAAAGACCACGAAGGCCGAUCUCAGAAAUCGAAGAGGCUUGCUUUCUCAAAAGCUGGGCUGCUCAGAGACCACGCGGGCCGAUCUCAGAAAUCGAAGAGGCACCUACUUUUCCAGCCUUGUCAGCACCUGUCACAUGCACACUCAGCUUUGCGGAAAUUAUGGGCAUUCUGUCGAAGAUUUCUGGCGAAGUAGAAAGCACAUGAAUCGUACUGUUCAAUCACCCACUUCCCACACGCAACAGUAGCUCAUGGGUACCACAUAUAACUUUGCCAAAGUUCUCUGACAAAGUUGAGACACGUGAAGCUUGCAGCUCCCACUACAUCGCUCUUACCAAGAAAGGUAAAAGAUUAGCAAAGAAACAACGCUAACAAAGUUUAGACACAUAAAUUUUGAAGGUCUAGCUACCAUAUUAUUACCCACAAGGGUAAAGGAAUAGUACCACUGCUGGAUAAUUGGAAAGUCCGGUGUGUCAACCUCUGUGCUUUGUGGCAAGGUAGACUAGCAAACAUGCCCAACCUUUACUCACAUUCGAGAAAACACUCCCAACAAGAUUGCUUGCUCCAAAAUCGAAGAGGCACCGCCCUCCGAAUCUCGAGAGCCAGACUCCCAACAUGAUUACUUUCUCAAAAAUCGAAGAGAGGGUAAAGGAACAGUACCACGGCUGGAUAAUUGGAAAGUCCCUGUGUGUCAACCUCUGUGCUUCGUGGCAAGGUAGACUAGCAAAGAUGCCCAACCUUUACUCACAUUCGAGAAAACACUCCCAACAAGAUUGCUUGCUCCAAAAUCGAAGAGGCACCGCCCUCCGAAUCUCGAGAGCCAGACUCCUAACAUGAUUACUUUCUAAAAAAUCGAAGAGAGGGUAAAGGAACAGUACUACUGCUGGAUAAUUGGAAAGUCCCUGUGUGUCAACCUCUGUGCUUCGUGGCAAGGUAGACUAGCAAACAUGCCCAACCUUUACUCACAUUCGAGAAAACACUCCCAACAAGAUUGCUUGCUCCAAAAUCGAAGAUGCACCGCCCUUCGAAUCUCGAGAGCCCGACUCCCAACAUGAUUACUUUCUCAAAAAUCGAAGACACCGUUGUCCGAAUCUCGAGAGCCAGACCCCCAGUAGGAUUGCUUUCUCAAAAAUCGAAGAGGCAUCGUUCUCCGAAUCUCGAUAGCCAGAUCCCCGACAGGAUUGCUUGUUUGAAAAUCGAAGAGGCACCACUUUCCCAACUUCAAGAGCUGGAUCUCCUUGGAUAAAGCUUGUUUGUAAUCUUCACACACAACAUCAGCUUUCCAGAUACCACAGACUACUUUUUCAAAAGUGCUCUGACAGAGUUAAAACUUGUGAAGCUGGCAGCUCCCACUACCGUGCUAUGACCAAGCAGGGUAAAGGAAUAACAUUAUUACUUGAUGUUAGGGAGACUCCUAUAUAUGUCGACCUCCAUCUCCAACGGACAGGCAGACCUGUAAAAAUGCUCAACCCUUCCUCUUAUCUGAGAUGGCACUCCUAACGAAGCUUUUCGAAAUAUUCAGCUUUCUUUCCCCCCGAUAAUACCUCUGUAAACAAGCUAUACUAGAGCAAGAAUAUCUUAUAUCAUCAGGGUUAAAAGCAAGAGUAUCCCAUAUCAUGCUUUUUCCCUGUCUUUUCCUUUGGCAUUGUUCUUACCUGCAAGACAAGGAGAAAGAGAGCAAUCAGUCAACACUUGGAAUCAAGCUUCCAGCCAGGAACUGACUGCCUGGAACCCCUUACUUGAUUACUUACCUGGCAUUGCUCUCAAGUACUCAUCUUCAACAUCUUAUGCUUCCAGGGAAGAUCCCGCAUCUGCCUGAGGAACAGAUAGGGCAAGUGAGAAGGAUACAAGGAAGCAUGUGGAGACAAGCGUAACAGCGCACGUGCCGAUACAUCCAUUACUCUGUCAAAAGCAAAAGUAUCCCAUAUCAGCAGGGUCGAACGUACUCUAGAUUUGAUGGACUUGUUUUGACCCUCAAAUUCUUCAGUCGGCCUUAUCUCUGGAGGAAAACCAGAAAACCCUCCAGCCCAGUUCAAGAAUAAGCCUGUGGAAAGUUACUUCUUCAAAAGCAAAAGUAUCCCAUAUCAUAUCUUCUCAAUUUUCUUCUCUUUAUCCUUCAUGCUGCCUGCAAGAUAGGGAGAAUGUGAACAAUCAGCCGGAGCUCUGAUUGCUUACCUUGUCUGUCACCUCUUUCAGCAUAUCCCCUAGCUCGGCGACUUGGGGGACUCCUACUACAUGGUUUGUAUCGCGCUUGACCAAGCCUGAAACUACAAGUAAGCUUCAAGUGACAUUGAUACAUUACCUUGUGCAUCUCCACCAGUUACAGAUACCACCCCUGGAUGGAGGAAGAGUACUUCCAGAGAAGAUGCCACAUCCACCUAUGAGACAGAUAAGGAAAGUCAAGACGAUACCACUCCAGUACUUAGAAGUUUCGUGGUUACGAGAUCAUUCUCCCACAAUAUUUCCUAAUGUCAUUUGUACUAAAUCAUUCACUUGUACUCACUAAAGGAGAGCUUGAACCUAUGUACUUGUGUAAACCCUUCACAAUUAAUGAGAACUCCUCUAUUCCGUGGACGUAGCCAAUCUGGGUGAACCACGUACAUCUUGUGUUUGCUUUCCUAUCUCUAUCCAUUUAUAUACUUAUCCACACUAAUGACUGGAGCAAUCUAGCGAAGAUCACAAAAAGUGACCGUUUUCGCUACCUAGGAUCUAUCUUGCAAGAGAACGGAGAAUUAGAUGGAGAUCUCAACCAUAGAAUACAAGCUGGAUGGAUGAAGUGUAAGAGUGCAUCCGGCGUGUUGUGUGACCGUCGUAGGCCACUGAAGCUCAAGGGAAAAUUUUAUAGGACGACAAUAAGGCCAGCGAUGUUGUAUGGCACAGAAUGUUGGGCGGUGAAGCAUCAACACGUAGACAAAAUGGGUGUAGCGGAGAUGAGGAUGCUUCGUGGGAUGUAUGGGCACACGAGAAAGGAUAAGAUUGGGAAUGAGGAUAUCCGAGGUAAAGUAGGAGUAGCCAAAAUUGAAGGAAAUAUGAGAGAAAAUCGGUUCCGGUGGUUUGGACAUGUGCAAAGAAGGCCUACUGACGCUCCGGUUCGAAAAUGUGACUACGGGACAGAGGUUCAGGGCCGAAGGGGUAGAGGAAGACCUAGGAAAACUUUGGAAGAGACCCUAAGAAAAGACUUGAGUACUUGGAUCUAACGGAGGACAUGACACAAAACCGAGCGCAAUGGCGUUCUAGGAUUCAUAUAGCCGACCCCACUUAGUGGGAAAAGGCUUUGUUGUUGUUGUUGUUGUUGUGUUAUUCUUUAAUUGUAUGAUAAUGUUUUCAAUGUUUUAGAUUACAUUGAUCAGUAUUAUUUUAAAGUAUAUAUAAAGAUUAGUUUAUAGGUGUAUGCACUUAAUAUUGAAUAUAUGGUAUUUUUCAGGUUAUUUGACAUACAAUUGCAUAUAAUCUCAAUUUUCUCCUGCAAUUUUUGUCUGAGCUUCGGAAUCGUUGAAAAAUUUGUAUAAAUAAUAAAUUAAUUGAAAUGGCUAUUAGUAAUGAAUGAGGUGUUUACUGUGUUUUUUUGGUGUGUACAGAGCGAAAGGUAUGUUGCUAACGAAGGCAAAAACAAGAUGCAGUUUGCUGCAUAUAGAAAACGGAGGUUAGUUUGAUUCCAACUCCUUUUUUUAGUUUAUUUGAAUAAAAAAUUGGUAACUUCGAGUCCAAUUUGAUUAUUUCUUGCUUUUCUGCUGUUUUGCUGCUGCCUGUCUGCUCUCCACCCUUUCCUGCUGCCGUCCAUUGCCUUAAACAAAAAAAAAAAACCAUUUGCCAAACCCACCAAAGCCACAAGAAAAGACAAGUAGAAUUUUAUAUUCUCUACCCACUUUUAUUCACGAUUGCUGUUGGCUUCCCUUUUUUUAGAAAGGAAAACUGCCGCUCUCCUUGGACAAAUACCAUCUUUCUCAAAACAUGGAUCCGGAAAGACAUCUGAUAGAAUUUAUUUUGAGUUUAAAUUAUUAAAUUAGGAGAGCUAAGAAGAUAUUAAUAACUCUGGUUUUCUCUUUUGGCUACCACCUUGCUCUCAAUUUCUCUUUUUCCUCCUGCUCUGCUGCUUUUUCAGUUUUACAACCUCUCUGCAAAAAACACUGUGUUUUGCAUGUUUUUGUUCAUGCUUCUAUUCCUUGUUGUUGUGGUGGUGACUCUGUGAAUGGAAUUCUCAGUUAUCUAUUCCUCUACAAUACAUGAUACAUCUGAUUUUUGUUCAUUGACAGAUGAUGCCACAUGCUUGAGAUUUUUAUGCCAUCACUCUGUUCGUUCUUUUGUGAUUGUUAUUGUUUGUUUUAAAAUGUGUAUGCUGUGUGUCAUACACAGAUUAGAGCAGAGAUCCAUGAUUUAAAUUCAACAUAAUCCUCACAUUAAGCUUAGUUAAGUUCAAUGUUGUUUUUUGAAACUUAGUAUGUUGUUACCAAUAACGUUAAGUUAUCAUAACAUUAUGUAUUUAAUUUAACUAAUAAUGUUAAGUAAUAAAAUGACGUAACAAAACAAUAUUCAUUGACACACGCCAAAAACAAGAAUCUUCAUUAACGUUAUUAAUCAACCAAUCAAUAUUUCAUAAUUUUUUUGUAUGUAAGUGUACUAAUAUCGAUCCAAAGCCGCAUGGCCUACCUGUGUGGUCAAAUCUUUUGAUAUAACAAUCUACUCGACGUUUUCAAUGUAAAUAACAUUAAUCUUUAGUACAUUAAUUCAAGGGGUCUUUUGAUAUGGGUCCAAUUGGACUAAAAAUUAGACCUAUUUCAAAAAUCAAAAGUCACUAAAAAUUGGAUCUAUUUCAAAAGAUGGGCUAUAAAAUUGGAUCUCUUUCAAAUUUUCUCUUAAUUUCAAAUACAAUUGUGGUUCAAGGGAACAGUUAAUGAUCCACAUGGCAUCAAAGUAUCUUACUCAAUUGUAUAUUACACGUGUGUAUUGCAUUAUGUUUGUGCGAAUACUUUUUUUCACUAUCAAUCUAUAUUAGUUUUGAAUUCUGAGUUGAUUUAACAAACAGGUUUCUUUAUUUCAGAUUAAUUUGGUUCUCACUAAAUGAAUCAAAGAUCACAAAACUAGAACCAGUGGUUUCCAAAAAACGUUGGUUCUUGAAUAUUUUCAUUUAUGCUUUUUCAGUUCUUUGAAUGGACUUCCUAUAAUCCAAAAUGAGCUAUUGAACAACUCUUUUGUACAUUGUAUUUGCAAAUCAAUAUUUAGGCUAAUAAUUGAAGACUGAUUCUUUUUUGUUGAAAAAAUCUGGAUUCUUAAACUGUGGUGAUUAAUGUGGUUUUUAGGUGAAUUUUUCGAGUGGGGGAGAAAGGGGUAGGUGGGGGCUUUAAAUUGUUAUUCUCAAUUGGUAUAUAAAUAUUUAAAUGUGCAAAACAUGGAUAUCAUGGAAGAAUUCAAAUGUUUUUCCUGCAUUAGGUUGGAGAGCAUGAUCAUUUUUUGUUUGCACAUCACAAAGUUUGUUUUGAGUACUUCUCACGCCAUUGAGGCACAAAUGUUCUUCCUGCAUUAGUUAAUUUUCUUUAUAUCAAAAUAAAUUCAAUUUUCCUUUGUAUCCAAAUAUGUAUUAAAGUAAUUGUGAUUGAAGUUUGUUUAUGUCUGCUUUCCAAGAUUUAUUUUUUGUUUACAUGUCUUACUCCGUUUAUGAAUGCUUUUUUGGUUAACUGAAAGAAUGCUUUUCAUUCUCGGUUUUCAGGACUUUAUCUACCAUUUACAAGUCAACCCCACAAUACCAAAGUGCAAGCGAAGCAAAGAUUUGAGGUGAUUUUUGCUCUAACUUUUUAAGAUUUUAUAUUCUAGGUUAAUUAUCAACCGAAUUCUGUUACUAGAUUUAGAAUUGUAAUUUGGUACCACUGCUGCCACCUGCCGCUUCAGUUUUCACAUCCUAAUGCCACGAAAUGCUAAUUUUAAAUUCUAGGUUAUGGGUAAGCAUUAGUAUUUGGAGGCACAAAUUAUUCUCAGCCGCUAAACCAAGUUCUAAAUCUUUUUUCGUGUGGUUUACAUUAUAGGCUAUUCAAGCCCUAUUUUAAAUGUAUGAUUGGUUUGCGUGAAAUGAAUGAAAAAGAGAGUUAGAAUACCCUGUGAGAUGACCGAUUCCAGAAACCAUUUUAAAUAAAACGUAUCAAAAGUGUUGAACGGAGAGCGAAAAGAUUCUUUGCAUGGAAAACAUAUUUCACUUUGUUUUCUUUACUGAAAGUGCUCUUAUUUAAUCUGGUUCUGUUUCGGUUGCGUAGUUCGUGGUUCGCAGUGACUAAGAAUCGUUUCCUAAGAAAUCUAUUGAGCUAAGUUCUUUUUGGUGGGAAAUUAGGGUUGCUGAUGUUAGCAAUGGAUUGUUUCUGUUUGGUAUGAUUAUAUCUCUGAACAAGCAUUAAUAAAUAGAACGGUUUAGAUCAAUAAUUUUAUUCGGUCAAGAUUCAAACUCCCAUUCUAGAGCAAACUAUAACUCAAAUUGCCAUUGCAGAUCAAACUAUAAGUCAAACUCCCAUUCCAGAGCAAACUAUGAGUCAAACCCCCAUUUCAGAGCAAAAUGGGAACGAGAAGCAAUAGGGCAUGGCUAUUUCCGGGGCAUCGUUUGUUUUGAGAUUCUGGUGUAAUUAGAUUUGAACAUUCUGCUCCUCUGCUUUUUGAUUUGUAUAUAUCUCAAAUUUCUCUCAAUUGCUAAAGGAUUUAUUUUAUUUAAAAAUUUCAGAAAGUCGGGUCGUGGGAGGAAGAAGCUGGUUUGUUGACAUUUUUAGGUAUAUAAUCAUGUGCCCUGAUAGCAUAUUCAAAGCCUAUUUAGUAAAGCUUUUGUGCCUGGAUUUAAAUUAUGUGAUUGGUAAUUACUUAGCACGAUAAUUGUGAAGCAUAUGAUCGUUAUUCAUGAAUACAAAACCUUCAUUCACAAAUCACAAAUAUUUGAUGAGCUAUUUAGAAAUUCUGCAUUUUCGUCAUCCAAUUCAAUAGCAUUUGGGAUACUAUGCUAGAAUUCUAUUACAGCUCCAGUUAGAGAUGUGAAGCAUGAAGAAUAUCUCUUUAGGAAGUGUUAGCUAAUCCGGUUAAUUGGUCAACGAAAUUAGCCAUUUUAGUCAUUUAGAUUGGAUAACCUAGGAAGAAUGUUAGAAUGAUUGAUCAUAUUCGUUAGCCCUAUGUUUUUUUAUUGCAUAAUGAUGGAAUUGACACGUCAUUUAGUCAUAGUAAUUGAUGUAAUAAGUACAUAUCAACUGCCGCAUUCACUCAUCUAUCCCUCUCCUCAUUCAGGUAAAAUGUAUCUUAUUCGUACAGUUCAAGGUGAUGCAUUCAAGUCCCGCAGCAACGCGCGGGUCCAUUUUCUAGUAUUUUUCUACAGUGAAAGAAUACAAUGAAAGAUUACGACCCUACUAAAUAAAACGGUAACUACUGAAAUAUGACAAUAGUGAAAUCUUAUAUAUAUUGGUACGCAUAAGCAUAAGCAUAGCAUAUUAGCAUGCCCAUGGUUACUAAUCUAACAACAGAAGAUGGUAUCAGAAGAAGGUAUCUGCAGGGAAUUAUGCAUUUCUCCAUGCAGUGCACUUGACGUGAACAAACAACUUGUUCUCUUCCUCAUAUGCUCUUUGCACUUAAAUUUUGAUGAUUUACAUAUUUCCAUUCUAUAUGCCUCCGAUGUCUAAAUCAGAAAAGUAGUAGAGAGAAAGAAUGUAUCUCGGCAUUCUCGACAAUCACCGCUUCCAAUUAUGUUGCAAGUUUUCAUUCAAAUUUUCUUCUUUAUGCUAUAUUUUGAAAAGUGUUCUACACGUGCUUUUUUAAUUUUUUUUUUUAAUUUUUAUUCUUCCCUGUGUGGGAAUUUACAAAUGCACUUGCACUGUGCUAUUGAACAAACAUUGGAAUUAUGUCUCUACCUCUCGUCGCUGCAAACCAGAGUUACCAGCAAAUGUUUCCGUUCUUGUUUCAAGUCUUUUGUCAGUCGUUUGCUUUUUUUUGUUCUUGUCUGAAUUUUCUCGUCUUCUGUGGACGUUAGAUAAAUUAGUUAGACUAUCGCUAGUAAACAAUAAAAAAUUACCACAAAUUAAAAAUCAUCCUCAAUGAGUCAAUUGCUUUGCCAAUUGCCUCUCUCUUCUCUCUUCUCUCUUCCAAUCCCUUUCAAUUCUGCUCUCUAACAGAUACUGCAGGAGACUCACCAUUCAAAGUCUCCGCUGCCAUUGGAUUUUCCACCAAAGACUAAGUGGUGUGCCAAGACUUCCGCGGCUAGCAAUCUCCAUCAUGCAUUCAUUAUCAUCUGUUCCUACACGGCUUCAUUAGAAUUCGGAAAUUUCCAUAGAAAAAUCUCUGUAUUUCUCAUUAGUAAAAAAACAAAUAAGAAAGCGACUAGAGUGGCAAUGACAAUUUUGGAGUUUUAAUAACAAUUUCGUUGUUUAGAAAAUUUGCAAAUAAUGACACGAAAGUCACAUCCAAGUAGAGACUGUCACAUACAAUAACGACACGACAGUCACAUCCAAGUAGAAGGGAUUUCAUUGAGUGGUUCGAUAUGCAUUAUACUUCGCGAUUCCGUUGAGUGGUCCAGAAUCGUAUCCACUUGGAUUCUGUUGAGAGGUCCGGAAUCCCUUCUACUCUGCAGUUCUGUUAAGUGAUCCGGAAUCGUAUCCUGGUUUGGAUUCUGUUGAGUGGUCCGGAAUCCCACUUGGUGUUUUGGUUCCAUUGAGUGGUCCAGAACCCGAUGUUGAUGGAUUUCGUUGAGUGGUCCAAAAUUGCAUCAUUUGACUUGUUGGUUCAUUAGAUUCGAUUUCAGCUUCAGAGAUAUAGGCUUCGGCCGAACUGUAUCGCUCUAGCCCUGCAUUUCGAUGUAUUGUAUGUGUUAUUGAUUGGUGUGAUUAUUGGUUGGUGUUAGAAUGCAUAUGUGUGUGUAAAUGGCAAGAUGAUUAAAGAAUAUUAUUGUGCUUCGUCGAAUGUUCCUUGAGAUGUUGCAUGCCUGAAUCGUAGUAUUAUAUUGGGACAUAGUGGUUUAUGUGAUGAAUGUUCGAGUGUAGUGAAUGGUGAACUACAAAUGACUUGAUCCCUGUUUAGAGUAGGUAGGCAGACUAACGAGGAGGUUAGAUGCAUCCAUAGAGUAUACGAAAAAUUACUAUGCGAUUCGAUUAUCUAGUUGUGCUUUGCCGUAUUUCGGAGGAAAGGUAAGAUAGAGAUACGGGUAUUUGGUGACGUCACGUGUCGAUCCUGGACGUAUGUCGGGAGCGAGAUGUGACAUCACAUGUUAUAAAAUAAGUGGAGAGACACAUAAAAAUAUAUCAUUUUCUCACUUUUGUUAUGACAUAUGAAAUAACGCUUGAAUAACCCAUACUUGAAAAAAUCUCUUCUAAGUAGGACAUGCCUCACAUCCUCACAGAUAACGUGAGGAGCAUGCAUUGGCAAUGACUGAAGAGUUAGUCGGGGGUUUGGAAGAUUCGAAGUAUGACAUUGAUAGGCUCCCACUUCCGGUCCAAUCAGACUUUUAUUUUCUUCCAUGAUUGAAAACCUCAUGCAAAAUACCAAGAAGAAAUUAUAUGUUCAUGGAAGACUAAAAGUCUCUCAUAAAACGAUAAUAGUAUGGAUGACUUAGGGUUGGUUUGAUAUUGCUGUGCUUUGGAAAAAAACUGCUGUGAGAAUAAGCGGCUGUGCUGUGAGAAUAAGUGGCUGUGAAAUAAAUCAGCAGAGUGUUUGGUAAACUUUUUUGUAAAAGCGCUUUUGGAAAAAAAAGCAGUCUGAUAGUGGGUCUUUUCAUUAAAGGAGCAUUGUAGCUCCGUGUGCUUUGAAAAAAAACCAGUUUUCCAAAGCUGCAAAUAGUAGCUUCAGCUUUUUCCUUUGAUUUCAGCUUAUUCUCACAGCAGCUUAAAAAAUAAGCUUUUUUUUUUCAGUUUACCAAACACCUAAAACCCUCACAACUUUUUUUCAUGGGUGUUUUUUUUUAAGCACCUCACUCCCAAACCUGGCUUUACUGGGCCUCCAGAAACCUUUACCUAGCAAUAACAUUUAGCUACUAAGGUUGCGUUUGGGACAGCUUAAAUUUUUUUAAAAGCUGGGAUGAAAAAAGUUGGGGUCCUUUUAGUGUUUGGUAAACACACUAAACCCAGCUUUUUUUCACCGUUGAGGAUGAAGAAAAACCAAAUCCUGAAGCAGCAAAUCAUAGCUUUGAAAAAACUGCUUUUUUUUCAAAACAUGCGGAGCUACAGUGCAAUGUUAAUGAAACUUUCUAAAUUCCAAUAACAUCCUCGUUAGUUUUACAAAAUUACAAUCCUUGUCCCUAAAACAACUGGAAGGAUCUCUUUCCUAUUCGCUCGUUCUCCCCCCGCAUCAGAUCCCUAGGACCGCCGUCAUCCCUCCCACUCCCGCUCGACACCGACCACCACUGCACCAACGAUUAUCCCUCUCCUCCUUUCAAAUCCUACACACGAUCAAAUGCGAUGAUUAAAUAGUAAAAUAAACUUAAAAAAUAACCCAGAAAUUAAUUUAAUUGACGGAAAUGCUUAGGGUGAUAAAAGGACCGAUGAUUUCUCCGGCAGGAAUGAUGAUUCUCAUCCGCAAGGAAUUCACUAAAUUAACACCCAAUAAAUUAAUAAGAUGCCAACCAAUCUUAUUUGCACGACACAAAGAAAUUCAUCAAAUUCAAUAACAAAACCCUAAUUUAAAACCCAAAAAACAAACCAUGUAUUUAUUUAAUUUUAUACCUCAACAAAUUUGUCCGUCCUCGAAGGUGUGGUCAGAGACGUUGACACUCGAAGAUCCGGUGAAGUUGAGAUGAGGGAGGAUGAGCAGCGGAGAAAAUGAGGGAGAGGAGAGAGUGUGAAUGUAAGAGAGAUUAUAAAGAAAAAUAAAUAAAUUAUUAUAACAUUUAAUAUUAUACCCUGUUAGUCAUUUAACAUCUACACAACAGUUUUAUAUAAAAGUUACCAAACACUUGAAUACUGCUUUUUUGUUAAAGCACUUUAAAAAAAAAAGUUUACCAAAUACUUAACUGAUUUAUUUUACAGCUAUUUAUUCUCACAGUACAACAGAAGCAGUUUUUUUAAAAAGCACAUCAAUACCAAACUAGUAUCUACAAUGAUGAUGAUAAAAGGUAAAUAUCAAAAGUUAAUUUGAUGGUUGUUGAUAAUGUCAGAUUUUUUUUCUUCUUUCUCUAACCCUUUUUUUGUUUGUUAUAUAUGAUAUUUGUAUGACCUAUUUUUAAAAAGAAAUCACUUAAAAUAAAAUUUCAAGAUCUAUAAUUAGUGUAUUAAUGAGACCCGCACAAUCAACAACAAAGCAUUUUCCCACUAAGUGGAGUCAGCUAUAUGAAUCCUAAAACGCCAUUGCGCUCGGUUCUGUGUCAUGUUUUCCGUUAGAUCCAAGUACUCUAAGUGUUUUCUUAGAGUCUUUUCCAAUGUCUUCUUAGGUCUUCCUCUACCCCUUCCGCCCUAGACCUCUGUUAAUGAGAUCCCGCACAAUAAAAUAAUUAUAAAACUAUUUGACAUCACAUUUUCUUAUAUGUCAAAUUUGACAUCUAAAAAUUCAUUAUGUCAAUUCACAUAGAAUUGACAUAUAGGUUAGAGUUUAUUCCUAUCUUCAAAUGUGAUUACAUGGCAUUCUGCUUAUGAUUUCACAUCUCCUUUGGAGAUAGUCUAAAACACGUUUAGAUAAAGGGCUAGCUUAGCUAAUAGCUACAGGAUGGAAGGAGCCAAACUUUAUAUCUUUAGUGCUUAAAGAAAAUCGAGGUAUCUGUGUAGAAUUAUCAGAGAGACAAGCCAUACGGCCCACUUCCAACAACACCGAUAUUGUCCCCAACUUGGUAAUUACCACCUGCACAAUCCGUCAGGUGUGGGGUUUUAUCACAAAAAGCCUCAGUGUUAGUUAGAGUGAGAUUAUGAUAUUUAAACUAUUACUUAUCUUUUACUACGACCGAUGUGGGAUUCAACACGCCCCCUCACGUAAGACCCAAUUAGUGGGUCACAUGUGGGAGAUCCACACAUAGGCAACCACGUGGAGCCAAGGGGACUCACCCUACACGCAGGGCCAAGGGACCCACUAUCAUCAUGCGGGGCCAAGGGGACCCACCCAUCACGUGGCAAUACAGUAAGGGCCCGCUCCCUGACUCUGAUACCAUGUAGAAUUAUUAGAGAGACAGGCCAUACGGCCCACUUCCAACAACACCGAUAUUGUCCCCAACUUGGUAAUUACCACAUGCACAAUCCGUCAGGUGUGAGGUUUUAUUACAAAAGGUCUCGGUGUUAGUUAGAGUGGGGUUAGAAUAUUUAAACUAUUACUUAUCUUUUACUACGACCGAUGUGGGAUUCAACAAUCUGGGCCCUGGAGAAUUGACAGGGCGAAUUGCUAGCUUUCGUAUACGAAAUAUCCACCCUAGUCACUAUGGACGCGUUUGCCCUAUUGACACGUCUGAAUGAAUCAAACUUUGGACUUAUUAGAUCCUUAACAAUUCAUGCGAAGAUUGGUUAUUGGGGGUCUCUAGAAAGUCCAUUUUAUGAAAUUUCUGAGAGAUCAGCUUUAGCUAAUAGCUAUGGGACUGAAGGAGCCAAAGAUUAUAUCUCUGGUAAUUAAAAUGGUUCACAAGGCCUGCGGUAUUUACAUGAUUCCUUUCUUUCUAUUUCUAUUCUUCUCGUCCAAAUUAGUCUUUGCCAAUGUUUCUCAAGAUCCAGUACACAGUUACUACUAGAAAAUGGCUCUAUAGGGACAUUUUUUUUAUACAGGUUAUGGUAGUGUGAAUACAAUGAAGGGUGAUGCUAGAGAAACCAUCUAUUUGAAGAAGGUAUCCAACCAUCAAUCGCCACAUCAUAUGGUCUAUAAAAUAUAGUCAAAAAACAUUAUGUCCCUAAUAUUUUUCUACAAUGAAAGAAUACAAUGAAAGAUUACGACCCUACUAAAUAAAACGGUAACUAAUAUCGCUAAUUAACUGCAACUCUCUGAUAACUGAAAUAUGCCAAUAGUGAAAUCUUAUAUAUAUUGGUGCGCAUAAGCAUAAGCAAAGCAUAUUAGCAUGCCCAUGGUUACUAAUCGAACAACGGAAGAUGGUAUCAGAAGAAGGUAUCUGCAGGGAAUUAUGCAUUUCUCCAUGCACUGACUUGAUCUGAACAAACAAUUUGUUCUCUUCCUCAUAUGCUCUUUGCACUUAAAUUUUGAUGAUUUACAUAUUUCCAUUCUAUAUGCCUCCGAUGCCUAAAUCAGAAAAGUAGUAGAGAGAAAAAAGAAUGUGUCUCGGCAUUCUUUAAUCUCGAUAAUCACCGCUUCCAAUUAUAUUGUAACUUUUCAUUCAAAUUUUCUUCUUUAUGCUAUAUUUUGAAAAUUCUUCUACACAUGUGGUUUUUUAAUUUUUAUUCUUCCCUGUGUUGGAAUUUACAAAUGUACUUGCACUGUGCUAUUGAACAAACAUUGGAAUUAUGUCUCUCUGCCUCUCGUCGCUGCAAACCACAGUUACCAGCAAAUGUUUCCGUUCUUGUUUCAAGUCUAUUUUCAGUCGUUUGCUUUUUUGUUCUUUGUCUGGAUUUUCUCGUCUUCUGUGGACGUUAAAUUAGUUAGAUUAUCGCUAGUAAACAAUAAAAAAUUACCACAAAUUAAAAAUCAUCCUCAAUUGCAUUGCCAAUUGCCUCUCUCUUCUCUCCUUCAAAGUCUUGGCUGCAUAUGGAUUUUCCACCAAAGACAAAUUGGUGUGCCAAGACUUCCGCGGCUAGCAAUCUCCAUCAUGCAUUUAUUAUCAUCUGCUCCUACGCGGCUUCAUUAGAAUUCGGAAAAUUCCAUAGAAAAAUCUUAUUUCCCAUUAGUAAAAAAACAAAUAAGAAAGCGACUAGAGUGGCACUGACAAUUUUGAAGUUUUAAUAAUAAUUUCGUUGUAUAGAAAAUUUGUAAAUAACGACACGACAGUCACAUCCAAGUAGAGAAUACCAACAAGUGUCGUGUAGGCCAUGGUUUGCAAACUUGUUCAACCCGACAUAUGUAUAUUUCGUUCCAACAAAAUAUAAAACAUAUUUCUACAGUCCAUCACAAUCAGGUACCAGCUUGUCGCCUAUGGACUUGCAUACUUGUAAAAGGGGUUGUGAACACAAUCCAUUCAUUUCAGUUACCCUUUUUUCUUGGGAUGUGAUAUCCACACAUCCCAUUUUACUUCUCACACAUUUUUCUAAUUUUCGACCGUCGGAUCGGAUGAAUUGAAGAAGAUCAACGGACAAAAAUUAACAAAGAGUGUGUGAUAAGUAAAAUAUGAUAUGCGGAUAGCACAUCCCUUUUUCUUUUCUCCAUCACACGACUUUUGUUGCAACUCCCCGAUCUACAUCGAUAAUCUAUUCCUAUAAAUUCGGGAAUUUAGUAGCUAAACAUCAUCACCACCAAAGCAUAGCAAAGAAAAUUGUGUGUAAUAAUAAUGGAUACCCACUAUCACCUCAGUAUUGCUCACUAUUUCCUUCUUUUUCUUUUAGCAUCUUCCUACAUGCAGAGUACUACUAAACUCUGUUUUUAGCCCGUGAUGAACUAUCAAGCAGUGUGAAAAAAAAUUUAUGCAUCGACGAAGAAAGACAAGCGCUUCUCAUCUUUAAACAACAUCUUGUAGAUCAUUCUGGCAGGCUUUCCUCUUGGGUGGGUCACGAUUGCUGUCGAUGGGUAGGAAUUUCAUGCAACAACCUCACCAGUCAUGUCGUGAAGAUGGACCUCCGGAAUCCAUAUCCUCCGUUGAUAGACGUCCGGAAUCCAGAUCCUGUGUUUCCCAUUAAUGAAGAGUGGACCAAGUCGGCUUAUGUAAAGUCUAGCUUGGGAGGUAAGAUAAAUGCUUCUCUGUUGAGCUUGAAACAUUUAAAUUACCUGGAUCUAAGCUAUAACUAUUUUGAUAGCAAUCAAAUUCCGAAGUUCUUUGGGGAGCUUAAAAGUUUGCAAUAUCUCAAUCUCUCACACGCAUCAUUUGGAGGAGAGAUUCCCCUUUCUCUUGGUAACCUGUCAAGCCUAAAUUUUCUUGAUCUCUCGUCAAAUUUUGACUUAUCUUCUAGAAGUUUGAAUUGGCUUUCUCGCCUCUCUUCCAUGAAAUACCUUGAUCUCGGAGGCAUUAACCUUAGCGGCACAGGAGUCAAUUGGGUGUAUGAUGUUAAUAUGCUUCCUUCAUUAUCAGAGUUACGCUUACCUUUGUGCUUCCAAAUUGAAAGCAGUCCAGUACUCUCACUACAGAGCAUUAAUCUGACAUCACUUUUGAUCCUUGAUUUGUCAGAUAAUAUGUUUACUUCUGCAUUUCCCAGCUGGCUUUUUAAUCUUACUAGCCUCAUAACACUUGAUAUAUCCAUCAAUAAUUUCAACGGUCCUUUUCCAAGUGAAUUUGCAAACUUCAAAUAUCUAGAACACCUUGAUUUAUCUGAAACAGGCUUAAAAGGUCGAAUUCCUAAAGUCAUUGGAAAUUUAUGCAAGCUAAAGUUCUUAAGUCUUUCCGACAACAAGUUUGAUGGGGGGAUUGAAGAGUUUUGGAGGAGUUUCUCAAAUUGUCCAAAUAAUUCACUAGAGUCACUAGAUUUGUCAAAUUGUGAGCUGAAAAGCCAACUGCCAGACUCUUUAGGUGUAUUAAAAUGUUUGCAGAGUCUCAAUCUCAUGGGUAAUAAUUUGUGGGGCUCAAUUCCAGAUUUCAUGGGAAACUUUUCAUCCUUGAAAAUAUUGGACCUCUCUGAUAAUAAUAUGACGGGCUCCAUUCCACAAAGUCUGGGACAACUUUCUCAACUAGUUUCCCUACAUCUGGCUGGUAAUUCAUGGGAAGGCAACCUAACGGAAGCCCAUUUCAUAAAUCUUACCCGAUUACAAGACUUUCAAUUAGGAUGUCAAGUAGGAAACAUAGACCGCCCCAUGUCCCUCAUUUUCGACGUGGCUUAUGAUUGGGUUCCUCCUUUUCAACUCCACAGAAUUGUGAUCACAAACUGUUGGGUAGGUCAUGGUUUUUGGAUCUGGCUUCAAUCUCAAACUGAACUAGUUGAUAUCUUCCUAAAUGGUAAUGGAAUCUCAGAUUCCAUACCAAAGGAAUGGUUGUUGAUGAUAUCAUCCCAACUCAUCUUUCUGGACUUGUCUAACAACCAAUUUCAUGGAAACCUUCCCUCACAUUUGAAAUUUCCAAGUCUAAAAUAUAUUGAUUUGAGUAGAAAUCAGUUAGAGGGCCUAAUUCCACAUUGGUGGUCCACUACUAUCUCCGUCUUUAAUCUUGGAAGCAAUCUAUUUUCUGGGUCAAUUCCCUCCAAUAUUGGCCUGAUGAUGCCCAAUUUGGGCACUUUAACUCUUUAUGAGAAUAAUUUGAGCGGCACUAUUCCUCCAUCUGUUUGGAACAUGCAACAAUUGUUAGUCUUGUCUCUAAGGAGAAAUCAAUUUUCUGGAGAAUUGCCUUGUGCAUUGAGUGUGGAGAGCAAACUGGUGUUUCUAGAUGUUGGUCUAAACAAUCUUUCUGGUAAUAUUCCCUCUUCAUUGGGGGUAUUAAGUUCACUGAAAUUAUUAAAGCUCAACAACAACAAUAUUGGAGGUGAAAUUCCUGAUUCCUUGCAAAAUUGUUCUAGUUUGAUGAGUAUUGAUCUUGGAGACAACAAGUUAUCCGGUAACAUACCUCUAUGGAUAGGAGGAUCGCAUGUACCCAUGUUGUCUAGGCUACUUUUACGGUCCAACUAUUUUAGUGGACAUAUUUCUCAGCAGUUGUGUAAUCUUCGGCAUCUUCAUAUCCUCGACCUUAGUUACAACAACCUUUCAGGUAUUAUUCCCAUGUGCUUGGGUGAUUUGAUUGCAUUGGUGAAUGGUUCAAAUGAAAUCACUUUUAGUCCUCUUGAGCAAGCCACACUGACACUAAAAGGAUUCAAAUAUGUGUACAACACGACUCUUGAUCUUGUAAAAAGCAUUGAUCUUUCAUUGAAUAAUUUACAAGGUGAAAUCCCUGAAGAAAUAAGCAGCCUCAUUCUAUUGGGAACCUUGAACUUGUCCAGGAAUAAAUUGACUGGAAACAUCCCCUCAAAGAUUGGAAACUUGCAUUGGCUCGAAACUCUUGAUCUCUCCCACAACCACCUCUCGGGACAGAUUCCUCAAAGCUUUUCAUCUUUAACAUCUUUGUCCCACUUGAACUUGUCAUGUAACAACUUGUCUGGAAGAAUUAUUUCGGGAAACCAGCUUCAAACGCUCGAUGAUUCGUCCAUUUAUACGGAAAAUCCAUUACUGUGUGGCGCUCCUCUCUCAACUAAGUGCUCUGGAGAUGACACUUUCCCACCUAAGGAUGCCGAAGACAAGGAUGAAGAUGGGAAUGACAAGUUGUGGUUCUAUGCCACUAUGGUACUUGGCUAUAUCGUGGGCUUUUGGGGUGUUUGCGGCACAUUGAUCUUAAAGACAUCAUGGAGGUAUGCAUAUUUUCAAUUCUUCGACAACAUCAAAGACAAGAUAGCACUAGCAAUUGCAUUGAAAGUGGCUCGUUUCCAAAGAAUGUUUUCUAAUGAUUGUACUGUAUAUAGGUGAUGUUUUUCCCUUUCUACUUUGUGUUUUUGGUAGUUGCAACUUAUGUAUUCAAGAAACGAAAUUCUGUCGUUCAAUAAAUAUUCCCACAAACAAUUAUGUAUUAGGCUGUAAUUAAUAAAAAGUUCUUGUUUAUACUUAUCAAUUUUGAAUGAAUAGAAUUAGUAUUUUUUUUUUGGGUAAAGUACAAAAAAUUACCUCAACUAUUGGUAAUGUCAUACCUCAUCUUACGAAUUUGUGCCAAUGCCAGACUUUUGUCAGUUUUUCUGUUACUUUUUCUGUUAAAUGUUGACGUGACCAGAAACAUGACCCAUUUUUAUUAAAAAAAUAAUUAAAUAUUUUAAAAAUUAAUUAAAAAUUAAAAAAAAAACCAAAAAAAAACCCAUCAACCCGUGCCCUCCCCAAAAACCCAGAUCCCUUUCUCUGAGUUCUCCCCCACCCAACCCUCUCUCUCCUCUCUCUCUCUCUCUCUUCUUUCUCCCUGCAACCUGCAUCCCUAAAAUCCCAAAACCCAGAAAUCAUUCCCACCCGAGUCAUCACUGCUGGCGAGCUCUCAAUCCUCUAAGCCAACGAUCGCCGAUUAACCCCAGACCCUUUCGCAACUGCCGCUGGCAUCGGAGCUCUCCUUCUGGCACCACAGGUGAUUCUGGUUCCCCCACUUCAAAUACCAUGACAAGUUGAAAUUGUGCAGAGGCUUCGCCCUCUCAGAACCCAUCGCCAUGGACUUCACCUCCACUCUCUCUCCUCAUCCGACCCGCAUAUAUACACCAUUUAUCGGAAACUCAAAUCAAAGAGAGCCACUCUCAGAUCACAACUCUCUCUCUCUCUGUUUCUCGCGCCUCCUCUGAUUUUCUCGGAAAAUCUCGGAAUUUUCUAGGAAAAAACAGAGAGUUUUUCUAUUGGGAUUGUUGUUGUUAUUGUUUUGUUUUUCUCUUGCAAAUCAUCGGAGGGGCAGACUUCGGGGGCGAAGAGGAGAAAAGAAUGUUGUUGUGGAGGUUGUGGCUAGAGUUAAGGUUUGGGGGCGAUUGGGGGUCGUGGCUGUCAUCGCUGGAGUCAACGACAGAGGUAGGGUUAUCGUCGGUGGGAUCGGAGAGGAAGGUUAGGGGGGACGGGUGGGAAGGAUUUCUGGGUUUUGGGAUUUUAGGGAUGCAGGUUGUAGGGAGAAAGAAGAGAGAGAGGCGAGAGAGAGAGGAGAGAGAGGGUUGGGUUUUGGUUUUUUGUUUUUUGUUUUUUAAUUUUUAAUAUUUAAUUAUUUUUUUAAUAAAAAAUGGGUCCCGUCUUUGGCCACGUCAGCAUUUAACAGAAAAACUAACGAAAGUCUGACAUUGACACAAAUUCGUAAGAUGAGGUAUGACAUUGUCAAUUUUAAAAGAUGAGGUAUGAAAGUGUCGUGAUAUCAAUAAUUGAGUUAGUUUUUUUGUACUUUACAUUUUUUUUAUAUCAAAUUAAUAGAAUUAGGAUUCGGGGAGAUGAACAUGCUAGUGUAUGAAUCUUUCUUUCCCCCCCCCCCCCCCCCCCCCCCAACCCGGGAGGCUUUGGAAAUUUUUUGAACAUGCUAGUUUUUUGUACUUGUACCGUUCUGGAAGUCAUUCUGCAGUUUGGAAUUGGUCUGCAAUCUGGAAUUUUCUGGGGUGAUAUUUUCGAAUUAUGAAUGCAAUUUGGAAUCUAUCCACUGUUUUGUUCGGCUUUUUCAAAAGGUAAAACUUACUCAUUUAAGUCCUUUCUUUCAAUUAAUUUAAGUCAACUUUCUGCUCCUACUAUUUGGAGAGAUAUGACUUAUGUCAAGAUUAGUGAGAGGACCUUUAUCAAGAUUCAAGACCAAGUAAGCACAUUCCGAACAAGCCCCGUCGGUAAACUUUUGUUAAAGAAAGGGACGAUGCUGAUGAAGACUGAAAAUAUAAUUUUAACGUGCUCGGAACAACAAUUAACACUCACAUUCACAUCCCUCCUGAAGCCCAGUUCCUCUUCAGAACCUCCAACGGCAAAGAAAUCAGCGACAACAGUAUUUUUGGCCCGUGAUAUGCGCGCAUCUGAUAGUUUGGGAGGAAAAGGGGUGCUGCAGCAGAGAAAACAGUAUGCCAGCUUCUGCCUAGCAAACUUUAGCUUGUCUAAUCUUUACUCCUCAAUCCACCUGCUUAGGUAGAGUUACAAAAUAAGAAAUUAUCUGCAUUUCCUUGUACAACGAAAGCUAGACGUCCCCCUGAACAACUGCACUCUCCUUGACUUAUAUUAUAUCAAGGUCUGGUGGUAACUCCAAUAACAAGAAGCUAGAUCUCGGUUCGUGAGAGAGUGUACUGUACAUACCUGGCAGGAUGGUUGAGAUCCUUACGGUGUAUAGAUUGGCAAUUGUUGGAAUCAUCCACUGCCAGCUUUAGGAAAUCAUCAUUUCCGAUUUUCAAACAAGUAACACAAGAACAACGCAAGGAUGAAUAAGUUAUAUACAAUGUGUUGAGGAAAAAAUUAGAGUACACAACUCUAACACAAGUAUUGGAGAGACAAAACAAGUAAACAAAUUACUUGUAUUACACACACAAAAUAUUACAACACUCAAAAUUCUCAAAGACACACUUUAGAAGCAAUGACACUCUCUCACUUUCUAGAGACAAACUCUAGACCACUCACACUCCUCACUAGGACUACUUGCUUCUCUUCUUGGCUAUUUGGUUUGCUCUCUUACUAGUUACUUGAUUGGUUGAUUGGUUGGUUUCUAUUUAUAGGGCAUGCUUGCCGACUUAUAUAAUCACUAGAAUUUUCUAGUGCAUUGAUCAUGCACACACACUUUUCCACCGACAUAUGGCUUUGCAUAAUAGUCACAUAUUUUCCUAGCUUCUAGUAUGUUCUACAUACCUCUAGCUUAUAUAAUUCUAGACUGGCCAACCUACUUUACAUGCUAGAAUUGUCUAGCAUGUCACCUCCAAUAUUACAUGCUAGAAUCUUCUACAACAAUUCCAUGCAUGUUUGAACUACAAUAAUCUAGUUCCCUUAUACUGGCUAAUCUUAAUGGGCUGGUGUUGAUCUUUAACACAAUGGUCCGUCAAAAUAACUCAGAACAAAACAAAUUGCUGUGGAACAAAAUACUAGAGGUUUACGAGGUUGCAUCUAUCACUUCACAAACUGGUGUGUCUGUGAUUGCUGAUGGUGGAAUUUCCAGUUCUGGACACAUUGUGAAGGCUUUGGUCCUUGGGGCUUCUACUGUCAUGAUGGGAAGCUUCUUAGAUGGAAGCACUUAGGCUCCCGGGGCUUUUGUGUAUCAGGUAUGUUUGUGAUCUACUCAUGUUUUUAUUGCUAGAACAGAUAUACUGCUCUUACCAUCAGAUAUAAAAUUUACUUUCACACUUCUUCUCUCUUGUAUGAGUGUUUACUUCAAUAUGUCUUUUCUAGUUCUUUGAUGACUUUUUGAGCGAUUUAAGGAGUUUAUUAGGCAGAUUACGAAUACUGAAUUACAACUGUGGUUGGUAAAGAAACUUACCUAGAAGAUGUGUGUUUCAAAGUUUGUUAAGACAUCCUGCAUUAUUUCUCAUCCUUUUUGGAAUGCAUCAAUAUUGUUCGACAGAUCAGUUGUACUUCAUUGAUGUGUUAUGGUUUGCCAUCAAUCUUUAAUGCUUUUACAUUAUUAGGAAUGCCAUUCGUAUGUCUGCAUGGACUCUCUCCUUGAUGACCAGAACUUAAUAAGUUUGAAGCCUGCAUACGGUCAGGACUCGGGGGUUUUGGACUCCUUCGGGCUAGCACAAGUGGGGAGAGUAAAUGGCAAAAUGGUUAGGAUUAAGCUAGGUAAGGGUUCAGAUCCCUGAAACUGUGAUUGGAUUUCAUGGAUGCAUGUCCAAGCUAAACUUACGGGGUACUGUAUUGGACAUAGUAUUUCAUUUCUGUGUGUUUCCUUUUUUAAUGGUUGUUCUCUUGUUAAGCGAUUGAUUAAAUUUUCAUGAUUUUGAGCUAAAAGCCAAAGUUCUACAUAUAUGUUUGUAUAUAUUAUGCGUAAUUGCACUGGAUUUCAGAAUACUCGUCUUUUACAAGCAACAUGCUGUUUGUUAUUUCUUUGCCAUUGCUGAUUAGCUUUCAGCAUGCUUAACCUGUAUUAAGGAAACAGUGUGAUAUAGUGAUUUCAUGUUUUCUAUUAGAAUGGUCGCCGAGUUAAAAAAUAUCGAGGCAUGGGAUCUCUUGAUGACACGCCCCGACCCUGAUGUCCUCGGGACAUCGGAAUGGUCACGUGCUGGCCGACACCCGAAGGGUGACGAAAGCCAUUUAAUUUAAGUAAAAGCUAUGAAAUAAGCUAAAACGGGCAAUAGGAACUAAUAACAUAAUACUAAAGUUCAACUACUAAUUAAUAAAAUUAUGGUCAUACACAUAAUCUCAGAGCAUACGUCUAAAACAUAGUACAAACAGAAUUUAAGAUAGAGAAGUGCUAUAGUACAAUAGAUGUCGAAGCAAGAGAAAUAUAGCAUUGGAUCACUGGUAGGGAAAUGCCUCGUAGCUUAAAUCGUACUCCUCAUUCGUAGGUCCUGAAGGGGGCGCAAAACAAAGGUGAGUGGACCAAUUUGAUAUAUAUAAAACAGUUAUCAACAUACUAACCUCCAGGUUUUAUGAAAACACAUAUAUAAUGGAUAAACAUAGGUUUUCCGAAACCUAACAUGUUAUGCAGUAACUUAAAUCAUAACUUGUAUAUAUAAUAAUCACUAGUGAAUGUCCGAUAACCCCUAGGCCCCAUGCCGGCUCCCCGUCUCUGAGCAAACAGUCAGAGGAAAAUACACUUCAGGUCCCAUGUCGGCUCCCCGUCCCUGUGCUAAAUAGCUAGAGGAAACACACUCCAGGCCCUAUGCCAACACCAAACUGUCGCUCGGGAUGGACCGGAAUCUAUCCCUACGUCCUGUAACGGAAGGACCACUAAGUAAGUACAAAACUAUUGAACAUAUCUAUAUUGAAAAGCAACUUCAUAGUAUAAAGUUAUCCAUCAUCUAUACUAUAAAGAGGUGUUCUAAACAUGUUCUAAAUAUCAUAUCGUCAUCCAUCAGAUAUUCUAUAAGAACACGGGUUAUAGGAAAAAUAAUACUAAUUCAAAGUAGCCCCAGUAAGCAUGUUAUCUCACAAAACAUUUCAUAAAACAUAAUCAUUAAAUCAUGUUUUUUAUGUAUGUAUUUCUAUUAUUAAAACAUGCUUUUGAAGGGGUCCACUCACCGUACACCGAUGGUGAAAAGCUGUACCAAAAAGGUAUAACGGAAACACCGUUAAUAAUUGCACCUAUUCAUAUAAAGGGGUACCCUUUAGUCAAACUCUAUUCAAACGAUUGAAUUGGGAAAACGGACUUAAAAAACGGGUCCAGGACGUCGAAAUUAGCCUAGGAGAGGUUCUGGAUGAAACCCCGAAAAGUCAACUCAAAACGUCAACGUUGAUCGUUGAUCGGUCAAAGUCAAAGUCAACGCUGACCAUUGACCGAGUCAACGGGGUCAGAGGGGUCAAAUGUCAGACUGGGCUUUGGUUUUGGGUUGGGCCGAAAGGGCGGGCCUAAGGGUUUUGGGUUUAAGGGUUAAUAGGUUAAUAGGUUUGGGAAAGGGCUCAAGCCCCUUAACAGAAAAUGCCCCAAAGGCCCUAAUUAACUAAAUAAAACCUGAAAAGGUUUUGAGUUGAACUAAUGGGCUACAAGCCCUAAACAUAAUGGCCCGAAGGCCUUUGGGUCUAAAACAAUUAAACGAAAUUGGGUGAGGGUUUUGGGCUUGGCUCACUACGGGCCUAAGGCCCCAAUGCCUUGGAACCGGCCUGAAAGGCUUGGCGCACCGGAGGAGAACGCCGGAGCUUCUACAGCUCCGGUCGGCCUGAAACCUAGCUUUUAAGGUCCAAUCUAGGUACCAAAACGAGCACAAGAUGAGGGGAGUGAUUCUAUACCUUUGGUUUGUCGUGAAAUGACCUGUGGUGGUCGGAAAACCCCUCGACAACCACACGGCUCGCCGGAGAUGGGAGUGUCUACACCCGAGUUCGAUUUCGUCUCAAAAACCUUGGAAAAACACGAGAUACAACUCAAUAAAAUCCAUCCACGCAACAACUAAACGGAGAGAAAGAAGAUCGUGACUUACCUGAUUGGAAAAACAGAGAAGCCUCGCCAGAGCUCCUGGGUUUCGCCGAGUUCGCAGAAACGAGAGGGAGAGAGAGAGCAGGACGAGAUUGAUGAUGGUGAUGGGUGUCUUCCUCGAGCAGGUGCAAUGGUGUGCGUGUGUGUGGGUUCACAAUGCAGAGAAGAGAGAGAUGAGGGAGUGAGGGUUUCGAGAGAGAAUGAAUAGACAGAAAGAGGAAGUGAGAGGAGUCUUGGGGUGCUGCCACGUGGCAGUUUGAGGAUAAAAAGGAAUCCCAAAUUUUAGAUCCGGAAAUAGGACAAAAUUGAUAGAUUCAAAACAUUAAGGGGUAAUUACACAAAUAUAUUUUUAUAAAUGGGGGUGGGUGUUACACUUGAAGCAAUGACAAAAGGGAGUGAUCAGAGGUACUUGGGGGGGAUACAGCUAAAGCUAAAAAUUGCACAGGGCGUGGUUGGGGCAGUUGCAGACCAUUUUGCAGACCUUGUGAUUCAUGUCAUCAUUAUUGUUCGUGCUUCAAAUGAGAAUUGAUGUUGUAGCCAAUGCUUCUUUCGAUAACUUACUCUUUCGUAGUCUGUUCUUACUUUAUAGGGAAGAAGUCUGUAAACCUCUCAGGGUCUUCCUUCUCUCCACCUCUUAGAUAAUUUUCCAGCCCCAUCCAUUACCUCAAGGAAAAGCCCACUCCAUGAUUACGUACCUUGUUAUUGCUUAUGGGACCUGAGAUGUUAUGAUGGUUGUAUCAAGAACUAACAUGGUUUCUCAAUCAGUUAGUGUAUUUUACUAAAUAUGCAGGUAAGAACAGGAGCAGCACAAGUAGAAGGUGGAGUUCAUGGUCUGGUUUCGUACGAGAAGAAAUCAUUUUGAUGGUUAUAUCUGGCGACUGCUGUCUCGGGGAAUUGGGAACUCUUCCGUGUUCCAUUAUGCAACCGAUAUAUCGCCAAUUUAGCAUGAGUAACAGGGAUUGAGCCUGUCAAACUGCUACGGGUUUUGCAAGAAGAUUGCUGAACAGCGGAAGUUUUGAUCUCGGACGGUUCUCUGGCGUUUUGUUGGUUGCCAUGACUCAUGAGAGGUUUCCAUAUCUGCCUGCAUUUGUUUGACUCUGCACUUUAAGUGUGACAUAUGACUAGUUAGAACGGGCAAAACAUGUUGACAGAGUGAUAGCAUAACUGACAGAGCGACUUGAGUUUUGGGUUCGCUGAAGAUUGAAAGGAUGUGGAGGAAUUUGGUGGUGAAAUUGAUCAGGAUGAGCAGAUAGGGAUUUAGGGUUUGGAAGGAUUUGGAGAAAUCUCACGGUGAGAUUUCUUGUCUUGAUGGUGUGAACUUUUAGAUGAGCUUUUUUGGGUUUCGAUUCGAAUUGGAGUAAAAAGCAAUCGGUGCAGACCGCAGAGGAAGGAGGUGGUGGAGGAGAGAAAUCUCGCUAGCACACCACGCAUGCAACAGGGCUUUUCGUCUUUUUACUGUAGCAUCAUGAAAUAUAGGAAGGAAAAGAUCAGGUGAAGAGGAAUAUUUUCGUCUUUACACCGUGCUUAGAAACAGUGAAGCUGCGGGAUUGAAAUUGUAUAAAAGAUUAUGUUUGAAUGAUAUAAAAGAUUGGGUUGCAAAACGUUAAUGCUACAUACAAAAGAUAAAGUAUAUAGCAAUCUACUUGACAACGUUAAGUAGAUUGUUAUACAGAUGAUGUUAUUGCUUCCUCUUACACAUAUGUUGAGUGCAAAACGGCAUAACAAUGAUGAUAAAAACAUUAUUAGCUCUCCCAUGGACCAGAACUUAGAGGUCCAAAACUUGAAAACCCCCAUUCAAAGAGACAGUGUAGUCUAAUUUCUUUUCAAUCACAAUCCCAAUAGAGAUAAAACAACGAUUAAAGAACAGGCUAAAAAUACGAUAAAAUUCAAUUACAUUAUUCUAAGGAUUGAAUUGCAAACUACAACAUUGCCAUGUAACAGGUAGAAAAAUUCGUACCCAGUUCAUCCAAUUCAAUUGCAAUCAGUUCCACACCAACCCUUCUGAACAACGGUACAGUUGAGUACCUUCAAACCCAAUUUUCAAAACAAAUAAUUCUAUUUAUGAAAAAUUUGAACUCAUUUCUGCGACACAAAAAUCCAGCACUACUCCUAGCUGAUGAAACAAAACAACCUGCAAAGCUUAUACUUGAUCAUAUUUCACCAAAAACUUCUCCACAACUGUAAAUUUUCCCCCAAGACAAACAGAAACCAGAAACAUUCUGUGAAAGUAAAGUAAGCCUGUUGAGGUGUACAUGAACACCAAAAUAGAAACUGUACCAAGGUCUACCCUAUUGUAUAUGUAUGCAUAAUUCAAGUUCAAACUCUCAUGUGGAAAAAAUUGCAAAGAAUUGUAAUAUGAAAAUUCAACUAAGUUAUGCAAAGCAUACCAAACCAAUCCCAAGUAUCUUGAAACUCAACUUUGCUGAUAUCAUGAUAUGAAGAUGGCAUCACUUUGAAACCCUUAUCCACACCAUAGAGGGGAUUAGACUCCAUAGAAGAACUUGCGAGCUGCCAUUAAUACUAUAUUAUAUUAGCAUAUUUCAAUCUUUUUACACAUAACAACUAUUACUAAGAAGAUUGAAACAUAAACCAUAAGAUAAAAGGAAAAUGCCACUUUUUUUAUUCUAAAAAUCCAUCAACAUGAGCUACUAUUGUCAACCUUUAACGCCAUAAGAUUCAUUCUGUCCAACAUCUUCCCACGUUUUAGAGAAAUUUAAUGAAGUUGUAUUAAAAAGGAGUUCUCAAAUGUACACAAUCUUUCACUUUUUUUUCGUUGUUCACAAAUAUAAGCGAAUUUGUUGAUAAGCUACAAUAUAUUUUAACCUGCCAUUCAAGUUCUUUGGAACAUGAUACGAUGCCUAAUGCCUAACACAUUGUUCAAUAUGUUUUUGAAAAAAAUGAAAAAUACACUCACACAUUGACAUGCUAAAAAACAACACUAAAGAAAAUAUAUUUCACAGAAUUAAUUUCUUCCGCUGCUUCUAAAUCAGAAGAUCAAUUUAAGCAACUAAGGAUAAAAAUUUAUUGAAAAAAGUGCAAUACAGGAACAAACUUUUUUAGUUCUUGAUAAGGAGAAGUUGAGGAACUAAAGCUGCCAAGAAGAAAACAUAAGGCAAAAGAGAAAAAGAAGUUGGAUACCUGAGAUAAUCGAAGAAGAACCCUAAUUUAUUUUUCCACGGAGAGAGUAGUUGACAGUUUCGUGGCAGAGACAAAGAGGGUGCCGUCGAAUUCUCAUUCCGGUGAACGAAUCGCCACUAACUUCUACAAUUCCCAAAUCAAAAAAUUCCAGUAAGGGUAUGCCGAAACACAAAUCAAAGAUUCAAUUUCUUUGUGUACCGAAUGACACAAAGAUUGAGACUUUUUUUUACUUCUAAAAUUCUACACACUUUCGAGCCCUAAAUUUUCCCGGAAACAAAAGAAAGUGAAAGAAGUUGUACCUGGUUUGAGAGGGCGGACGCUAUCGGCAAGUUUGGUGGAGCAGUGAUGACGAAGAUCUCUGGUGAGAAAGCUAAUAAGAUGGACGAAUCCAUUGAACAAAAAAACCACGAUUUUUAAAAGUAAAGUCAACAAAAAUUUGAACAAAGAAAAAAGAACUCUAAAACCCAACCCGAAACAAAUAAGUCGGAGAACUCACCAGGAAACCCAAAGUUUCUGCAGGAUUGGUGACUUCCUGAAAAUCAAGCUUUUGUAGGUCCCUAAGGCAACAGAUCCAACAUUCUCAACUUUAGCUAUUUCAGCUCAUAACAGAAGAAAUUAUUUAAUUUAACUAUAAUUAACUAACCUGAUUUAAGAUUAAUCGAAAAGCUUGGAAAUUUCAGUUUUAAAAUUACGUCUCAGGCUGCAAACCGAAUAAAAAGCGUUUUAAAACUGUUCACCUUAAAUACAGAGGCCUUCGCAUGCUGCAAAGAAAUAUCAUAAACCCAAAAAAUCAGAUCUCCUGAAACCAAAAACACAACCAAAUUAACCACCAUCACUCAGAAUCCGAACCCACAAACAAAAUCCCCAAAAUCACAACCAAAAAAUUUAAACAAAAAACCCAUUUAUAAAUCCAAAUUUACACUCCCAAGUGCAAGAAUCUAAGCUCCAAUUGUUCUUUCUCAACUUUAGCUAUUUCGGCUACAUAACAUAAAAAAAAAAAAUUAAUUUAACUAUAAUUAACUAAUCUGAUUUCAGAUUAAUAAAAAAGCUUGGAAAUUUAAGCUUUAAAAUCACAUCUCAGACUGAAGUCGAAUCAAAAGCGUAGGGUUUCAAAGCUGCUCACCUUAAAUAGAGAGGCAUCCGCAAGCUGCAAAGACACAUCAGAAACCCGAAAAACCGGAUCCCCUAAAACCAAAAACAAAACCAAAUUAACCAAUUUAUUCGAGCAUUUAGCGUGCUUGUCGAUAUUUGAGUAUAACUUGUGGAUUCCUAUUUUCAUUUUCCGAUUAAACUUCAUCGAACAUGCGGUGAUCUCUAUCUUGUUUGUCUAGUAAGUAUCAAUACGGCUAGGUGUCAUGCACCCGCCCACACCCAACCAAUACAUUUGGACGUUUCCCUCCACAUUUACCCACUUCACUCACUAGUCGCAAAAACCCUGAACCCGCCGCCUUCCUCCCCCUCCAUCGUAACCACCUCAAUGUCCGCCUCAAUCUUCGAAGACGGCUUCUCCUCCGAGCGCCUCUUCAACCAGGGCUACUCCUACACCUACGAUGACGUCAUCUUCCUCCCUCACUAUAUCGACUUCCCCACCGACUCCGUCCAUCCAGCCUCCAACCUCAGCCGCCGCGUCCCUCUCUCGAUCCCCUGCGUCUCGUCCCCGAUGGACACCGUCACGGAGUCCCACAUGGCCAUCUCCAUGGCCGCACUCGGCGGCAUUGGCAUCAUCCACUCCAACUCGACGUCGUCCGAGCAAGCGCACAUGGUCCGGUCCGUCAAGUCCCGCCGGGUCCCGCUUCUUUCCAAUCCCGUAUUCAAAUCCCCAAGCGAUCGAAUCCAAUCCGACGACGUUUUCGACGCUGCCAAUCCCUACAUCCUGGUUACCGAGAGUGGUGGCCCCAGUUCGAAGCUUUUGGGGUACGUGACUGGUAAGGAUUGGGUGAAGUUGGGGGACAAGGAGGUGAAGAUAUACGAUUACAUGGUGAACUGUACGGACUUCACGGUGCCGUGGAGUUACGAUUUGGGGGCGAUUGGGGAGUACAUGGAGCAGAAAAAGCGAGAUGUGGUGGCGACUGUGAAGGACAAUGAGGUUGUGGAUGUGGUGGCGAAGGAGGAGGUGGAGAGGAUUAAGGGGUACCCCAAAUUGGGGGUUGGGACGGUGGGGCCCGACGGGACAUGGCGUGUCGGGGCGGCGAUCGGGACUAAGGAGUCGGAUAAGGAGAGAUUGGAGGAGUUGGUGAAGGCAGGGAUUGAUGUAGUGGUGUUGGAUAGCUCUCAGGGGAACUCCAUUUAUCAGAUUGAGAUGAUAAAGUAUGUGAAGAAAAUGUACUCGAAUUUGGAUGUAGUUGGCGGGAAUGUGGUGACGGUGAGUCAGGCGCAGAAUUUGAUUCAGGCUGGUGUUGAUGGGUUGAGGGUUGGAAUGGGAUCUGGCUCAAUCUGUACCACUCAAGAGGUCUGCGCCGUCGGACGCGGACAGGUAUAAAAUGCCUUCUUUUUGUUGACUUGUUUGUUUUUGUGAUUGAUGCUUUAGGUUAUGUUAUCAUUGGUGGUGUCUAAAUUAAGGCUUGUUAGAAUGUGGAGAGUGUUGAAAGUUAUGAUAUUUGUAGUGAUUGGUUUGAUUGGUUAAAUUGCUUAAAUUCUUAGUGUGUGAUAAAUGUUUGAGUAAGGAUUUGUUUAAUCACUGACAGUGUGCCUACUUAACAAUCAUUGUUUUGAUGGGUGCUUUACUCUCUUGUUAUCAGAUACUUGGAAACAUAGAACUUAGAAAACAAA